CUGAAUUAAGCAUAAUAUGUCCAUUGCACCUGAAUCCACGAGGCCAGUGAUCCUUGGACAUGAUUGCUGUGUGAUUGUAGAUGCAAAAUGUUAAAUGGUUCUGGAUAAGGUCUUUUCCAGAAACUCUAAGAUCAAAUGGAUACCAGUACUCAAACUCCUGCUUCAUCUUGUUAAGAACAGAGGAUGGGAUAUCAGAAGAUUUGGGAUACUGACCACCACAGAAGAGAAAUUCCCAGACCUCAUCAGUCAUCUGGGCAGGUUUAACCAGAUCGGCACUUUUUCCGUACAUGUCCCCAUUUUGUAAAAGAUGAGCAACUGUGUAAUAAGCCAUGUAAAUGGUUGAGUCAGAUAAUGACUCAACAAGGAAUUCUGCAUCCCAAGGAAUGCGAGUCCCAAGCCCAAAGGAUCGUGAGCAAGCCCAUUGGUUCAGCCAUCCUAAAGUAUGUUCAAAGCCAUGUCGUGUCUCAUCAGAGUAUAGAUUCAUGUUGGAUAAGCACUCCUCAGCUACUUGUUUCCAUUCCGGUUCCCCAUAUGUGAUGUACCAUUGAUCUGUAAGAGCCACAACACACUCAUCACCAGACCUUGACAUAACCUUCUUCUCAGGCUCACUAUAAAUUAUUGCCUGGCCUGUCUCAAUCAGUUUGGUCCUUAUCAGUGCCUUAGCUUCCUGGACUCUUCUUCCUGCAUACUCUCCAACAGUCAUGGUUCCCUCUGUAAAACCUCUCAAGUACACCAACCUCUUCGCCUCAGCAAGCUUUUCUUUCUCAUUCUGACUUUUGAUUUUCAGAUCCACACAAACUUUUUCAGCUGCCCUGUCUCCAAAUUCUGGAAUGUCAAUGAUGGGUAUAAUCUCAAAUGGCAAUACCCAUUCAUCCUUCACCCCAAACUUUGCCCGAAAAGCGGGUUUUGCUUUCAAAUCAUGUAAGGCCAUAUAAUCAUCAGGAGCAUCGCUAGGAACACUGGUCACGAUCCCUGUACCUUUGUCUGUUAGAAUUGUCAUCAUUGGAAGAGCAUAUAUGAUCUCAUUAAAUGAGAGAGGAGAUUUUACAGGAAGACCAAUCAGAUCAUAACCAGUCAGUUCAACCAAGCAAUUAGGUUUUUCAGGGACGCGGGAGAGCUUCUGAUAAGCAAGGUUGAGUGCUGCUCUCUCAGUCAGAAUAAAUAUCUCAGUUUCAUUGAUUUCAAAGGCUCCGUAUUUCCCAUUAGGCAAAACCCAGCAGUUUGUUUGCCCAUACAUGGUCUCAGGCCUCAAUGUUGCAGCAGCCAAAAACACUUUUUUCCCUUCCAAAACACGCAUUUUAGCUGGAAAAGGUGGCACCACUUCCAUUUUAAUAAUAGUAUACUCUUGAGGCUGAACUCCUUCACCAGUUGCCCUAUCAUGAUCAGCACAUGGCUGACUAUCCAAUGGAGAAUAUAUAGUAUACCUCAUAUCUUUAACAAUCUUACCCAUCGAUUUCAACUUCCUCAUCUGCCACUUAACAAACGAAUCAAAAAACGGAUUCAUAUCUGUGGUCACAAAUGACCUUCUCCAAUCACAACCUAAUCCAAAAGCCUUGAGGUCUUGAACAGCCAAUGGCGGAAAGAACUUCAACCAUUCAUACGGGUUCUGAAACUUUGAUAUCUCACUAUCUGAAAGUCCAAAACUCCUCAUAAUUUCCCACUGAAACAUCUGUCCACUAGAUUUCGAUGCCGCCUUAGACUUUUUACCUUUAAACUUAUCAGGCGCCACAUUGGCAUCUUCAUUUGGGUCAGAUUCUUCUGUUGGGUUAGGUUCCUCAUCCACUACCUCAUGAGGAAAAAUGGGUGGAUCACCAAAUUGUUUGAUUUCCCUAGCAAGUUUAUCAGCUGAAGCCUUGAUUGGCAUACCGGUACAGUGAAAAGCAAAAGGCAAUAACACAUUGGCACCUCUUAAUCUAUGAUAAGCAGCAGCAAACUCGAGUUUCGAAAGCGAAAAGGCAUGGCCCAGAUGUAAAAAACCAUUCAUAUAAGGAAAAGGAAAGUUCCCAAAGAAUUUUUCACCUGGUUGAGGUGGUUUUUCAUUAGGUUCAGCUUUAAACACAUCUUUUUCUUCCCACCAAACUCUAACCUUUGACUCGAUUUCGAGGAGUUUGUCUCUCCUGGCAUAGCUCUUGCCUCCCUCUGUUGCCAUCUCGUGAAACCAAUGGAAACUGUUCAAAACCAAAACAAAAUAAAAUUCAUGAAAAUGAAACAGAAAGAAAACCAAAAAAAAAAAAAAAUGGAAGAAUCUUUGGAAAGGAAAGUGCCUGAGUUUAUUGAGGAAGAUGGUGUUGUGCCUACGAAGAAUCUUUGCUGAGUUGCAACGGAUAUAGAGCAAAUGAGUGGAGAUGAAGGAGGAUAAAGAGAAAAGGGGGAGACUGCGUUGAGUUUCAGUUCCAGUUACAGGGCUAGAUUCUCAUUGUUUGUUUUUACAGGUUUUUAGGGUUUUAAUGAUUAUUAAUUUUAAAUUAAAAAGGCCUGCCCCAACUUUUUAACAGAUCAAGAAACAGACCCAAUGUAGGAAAUAACCCAAUUUCAACAACUUUUAAUCAGACUGAGAAAGAGAAGCCCAACUAGGGGGGCAACUAACUGAACUGGACCAAUCCCAAUCUUAUGCUUAAGCCGAAACCCAAAUUCGUGCCAUUUUUCUAUAUUAAAAUGCAGGAGGGGCAAUUUUAAAAAUGAGUAAAACUUUUUAGGUUGUAAAAUUGACAAAAUUUUAUAUAAGUAUGAUCAAAUUGUCAAAUAUAUUUUGUAUUUGAUAUGUUCACACUGAUUGUAAUAAUAAUUUUCAUAUUUUACUUGACAUGAAAUAAAUAUAAUAUAAAUAUAUAAAUUAUUAUGUCUAGAUUUAGUCUGUUGCCUAAAUAAAAAAAUCUAAUUGUUGUAUAAAGAUAGUUUUCAACCUUUAUGCUUAUUGCUUUGGAUCAUCUGAAAUUCUCGUAGCCAUAAUUAACCAAAAUUCUGCCAAAUGCUAUGGCCCCAAAAUUUGUUUCUCAUCUCAUUGAAAUAGAUAGUUGCCGACUAAGGGAUCACUUUGUUGGCUUCCAUUUGUUAUCCUGGUCAGUCUGCACUUUUGAGCAAUUUCAUUCGUUCAAAACUAAGCAGGAAUCUGCUAUGCAAAAGUACAAAUCUGGUAUUACAACCAGACAAAACAAGAUUACAUAGGAAAAAACUAAUGCACAAAGAUUCUCCUUGAUUCAGCUUCCAACUUUGGCCGCAGAUGAAUUUAUAGGUUUGUUUUUGUAGUCAUGGACAGACAAUUAAUUCUUGUCCGUCAUUUUUAUUUUCUUGUUUUGGUGAAUACUAAAUAUAACUAUUAUUAUUUGUCCUUCGGAAAAACAAGGUCAUUGUACCAUAAUAUUAAGUGUAGCCAAUUGGCAAAGCUAGAAACAAAUACUAAGUAAUUUCAGUAUCUGUUCUCAAGAAGGAAGCUGAUAUCCCUUGAUUGCAGGACGGCGGAUUCUUUGGUGGUAAGGAUAGAGUUGACUCCUGAAAAUUUUCCUGGGAAAAUUUACUUCAGUUUAUAGAAGAAAAUGGCAAAGCCGGCAAUGAGAUUCCAAUAAUCAUGGACAAUUGGCAAAGCCGGCAUGUAUAUGUGAUGGGACUUUAGCUAUGGAAACCUACUGCACAUUUGAUGUGAAGGUAAAUCAAUACUACUUUGAAAGCUAAAAAUAGUAAACUGAAUAAAAGAGAUUUUAAAGCAAGAAUAUUUAACAAUAUAUUUGAUUGUUGUUUUUGUGCCAAAAGAGUUUAAAAAAAAAUGUGUCAAUAGGGAAAGCGAAACUGAUAGCAAAUCACUUUGUAAUAGCAAAGCCAAGUAAGGGCUCAUUUCUUGCACUUGCAGAGGAAAAUUAGACAAAAAUCAUGUUCUUCCAUCACCCCUUUUCACUGGAAUAGAAAAAAAUUGAAGUAUUACAACUGGUUUUCGUUGAUUUCAAAGGUAGUAGGCUGGCUCACAAUUUACCUUGGAUGAACAAUGAGUAAGGUUGGUUUAUAGAAUUCUCUCUAAUGUACAUUUUUUAAUUCCUUAGUGACAAAGACAAUGGGGAAAUUAAAGUCUUUGGAUAGACAUUUCAAAUGCAAAAUUCCAAAUGGGAAGAAAACGAAGCAAUAGUACUAUAAAAGUUGUUUGGGACAGCAAUUAGUGCAUUGAAUCAUUUAAAGCACUUCUGUCCCUUUUUUUCAAUGGUCCAAAGUCUCAACCACAAAGCAUAAAGAAGAAGGCAACCGAAAUGAGAAAUUGUGAAGGAAAAGUUCAAUGUUCCAAGUCUUCUUUCCUUCCAUCUUAAAAUUUGUCAUCAUAGCCUGCCUAACAUUAAUUUUUCCAGCUCCAACCUUAUCCUUGCAGUCUGCAAUCAAUGUUUGGCCUAAACCAAUACUACUUUUAUGGCCAAAAGCCACUUGCCACAUUCCUCUCUCCAAACUUCACCAUCAGUUCCCCCAACCACCAAUACCUCAUCCCGGCCAUCAACCGCUACCUCCGCCUUAUCCAGACAGAGCACCACAAUCCCCUUGUCACCCCUUCUGUCAACAUUUCCACCUCAUCCCCUCCUUUGCAAACUCUUACCAUCAAUAUAAUUGAUCUCACCGCCCCCCUCCAACAUGGGUCAAUGAAACCUACGCCCUCUCCAUUUCUGAAGUAGGUGCCACCGCCUAUUUGACAGCUGCAACUACAUGGGGUGCAAUGAGGGGCCUAGAGACGUUUUCCCAGCUGGUGUGGGGUGAUCCCUCAGCUGUUCCGGUAGGCUUGUACGUCUGGGAUGCUCCCUUGUUUGCUCACAGGGGAGUCAUGUUGGAUACAUCAAGGAAUUAUUAUGGGGUGGAUGACAUAUUGAGGACUAUUGAAGCAAUGAGUGCUAACAAGCUUAAUGUGUUCCACUGGCAUAUUACUGAUUCACAUUCUUUUCCUCUAAUGGUGCCUUCGGAGCCUGAGCUUGGUGCCAAGGGAUCUUAUGGACCUGACAUGAUAUACUUUCCCUCAGAUGUGGCUAGGAUUGUUCAGUUUGGCUUGGAACAUGGGGUCAGGGUCCUACCAGAAAUCGAUUCACCGGGUGAGCUUGUCAUAACAGUAACUUUUUCCUUCUAAAAAAGCGUGGUAUGACUGUUCAUUUUUAUAUUAACUGAUAAUAAUAGUUUCAUGCUUUUAUAUAUCAGUUUAUAAAUUGACAUUUAUGUAAACUUUUUGUUAUAUUUUAUGAUUUUAGAGUUGAGUGAAGUCCAAUUCUACGAAAACAAAGCACUCUCUUUGCACACUGGACACAAUAUGAAAUGAGAUUAUCAAAAUAUUUUUCGAUUGCAAUUGCAGGCCUUACGGGAUCAUGGGCAGAAGCCUACCGGAGAUAGUGGCAUGUGCAAACAUGUUCUGGUGACCAGCUGGAAGUCAAGGGGAUGACAGGCUUGCAUCUGAACCAGGAACUGGGCCAUCUAAACCCCUUGAACCCCAAAACCUACCAAGUUCUCAAGAACGUAAUUCGUGACGUAGCCAUGCUAUUCCCUGAACCAUUCUACCAUGGAGGAGCUGAUGAGAUAAUUCCUGGAUGUUGGAAAGCUGAUCCAACCAUUCAAACUUUCCUUUUCGACGGUGGAACUCUUAGCCAGCUCCUGGAAACCUUUGUGAACUCCACUUUGCCUUACAUUCUAUCCCUUAAUCGUACUGUAGUCUAUUGGGAGGAUGUUUUAUUAGAUGAAAAUAUCAAAGUAGACCCCUCAUUUCUUCCAAGGAAACAUACCAUUUUACAAACAUGGAACAAUGGCUCAAACAACACCCAAAAAGAUCGUUGAAGCGGGAUAUCGGGCAAUUGUAUCAUCUUCAGAAUUUUAUUAUCUGGAUUAUGGCCAUGGAAAUUUUCUUGGCAGUGAUGGCCAAUAUGAUCAGCAAACAACGGCUAACUCUGGAAAUGGAGGGUCUUGGUGUGGACCAUUUAAAACGUGGCAAACUAUUUAUAACUAUGACAUAACUUAUGUUGAGUGAAGACGACGCUUGGAGAGGUGGCAUUGUGGUCAGAACAAGCUGAUCCUACAGUUGUGGAUGCGAGGAUUUGGCCAAGAACUUCAGCAAUGGCAGAGACAUUAUGGUCAGGAAACCGGGAUGAGACAGGGAAAAAGAGGUAUGCUGAGGCAACUGAUAGGUUGAAUGAAUGGAGGUAUAGAAUGGUAAGUAGAGGGAUCAAGGCUGAGCCAAUUCAGCCACUGUGGUGUGUUAAGAAUCCGGGAAUGUGCAACACGGUCAAUCCCUUUUGAUUUCAUAGAUGUUUAAUUGUUUUAACAGAGACUUCAGAGACCAGUGAAAAAAGAAAUUGAUUCUGUAAUUCUCUUUCAUUUUCAACUUGUAUUUUAAUUGAUUAGCAAAAGAAUUGUCCUAUAAAUUGCAUAUGUGCUAAAUUUCUUGUUAGUUCUAGCAAUAAGUAGUAAAAAGGAUAAAAACAAACAUCUGUUUUUUAGGAAGAAAAUCAUGCAAGAGAGUGAAACCCAAAGGCAGGAACUUUUGAGAGAAAUUAUGCAAGUGGAAGAUAGAUGAGGGCAUGAGUUACUUGAAAAAAAAUGCAUUCAAAGGGAUAAAUACCCAUGAAAUUUGAAAGGAUAAUAAAAUUGAGACCCACACCAAUGAAAUGAAAGUUACAGGGGAAAUAAUAAAAAAAAAAACGAAAAUAUUAAAAAAUACUGUUGAAAGAGACUAAAAUCCGCCAAUAGUAUAUUAUAUAAAAGAGAUUAAAAAAAAUUAAGAGAAAUUCUUUCAUUAACAAUUAGUAGUAUUUGAUAUUAAUGGUCACUUCAAAAAUUAUGAUAAUUUAUAUACAAUGAUUAGAUCAUCAUUUUUGAUAAAUAUUUAAUGAUCCUAUGUGAUUGUGAUUUUGAAGGAUAAUCUAAUUGCCAUUUGAAAUGAUGAAAAGCUUUUAUCAUUUUAAUAUAUAAAAUUAGUAAUAAUCAAUAUUACUUAUUUAAUAUGUGAAUUAAAAUUUUGAUUUAUCUUAAAAUUAUAAUUAUUUUAUAUUAUAAAUUUUUAUAUUUUAAACUAAUAUUCAUUAUAAACAAAUUAAAAAUAGUUUGAGUAUUUUUUACUUUUUGUGUUUAUAUAUAAUAAAAUAUCUUUUUAUUAUAAUUUUAAUAGAUUAAUUUAUUUUUUAAUUCAAUUUUUUUACAUAAUUUAUAUUAUAAAAAUUAGUUUAUUUAAUAAAUAAAUAUAUUUAAUAAUUUAAUUAUAGUAUAAAAUAAAUAAAAUAUUGCCAUUUUUUAUGAAUUAUUAUCUUUAAAUAAUAUUUAAAUCAUUAAUUUGUAAUUAUUACAAUAAAAUGGUUAUUUUGUAUUUUUAAAUAAAUAAUAUUUUAUUUUUAAUAAUUCAAAUAUAAUGAUUUUUAUUCGUAUGAAUUAAUUAUUGUUAACAAAAAAAUGAUUUCAAAUCACGAGUAAUAAAACUUGUAGUUAUUAAUUUCAUUUUGAUAUAGAUCAAUAUGCGACAGCUAUAUCAAAAUACAAUACACUUAGAGAUGAUUUUUGUACUAAAUUUGUUACAAGAUAAAACUAAUUGUUUUUGGUAGUUUUCAGUAAGUUUUAAUGAAUUUUGGUGGAAUAAUUUAUUUUGAUUAAUACGUAAUGUGAAAUAUAUUUUAUAAUUUUUAAUUUAGCCUUUAUAGUUUAAUUAUUUUAAUCUAAUAAAAAUAAAAUUAAUUGACAAAAUAAUCUUUAAAAGUUUAGUUUCUUUAUUUUUUAUUUUAAUUUAUUUUUUUAUACUUUAUCUUUUCAAAUCAAAGUUUAUAAUUUUAUAAUUUAUUUUUUCAAAUUAAAAUUUAUUAAUAUUUCAAUUUUUUUAAGAAAGUAAUUAUGCUCAUUUUAUAAAGUUUAACAAUCAUAAAGCCUUGGUUAACUUUUUUAUUCUCUUUGUUUUUAUCUUAAUAUUUACAUAAAAAAUAUUUAUUUAAAUAACAUAUGAUCGGAUUAAGUGUUUGAAAAUAUUAUGAAAAAUUCAUGAUAUUGUUUCUAAUACUUUUAAACUUAUUUAUUUGAUUUUUGAAAAUAUUGCAUACUUAAUUUGUAAAUUAUUAAUAGUAUUAUAAUGUACAAGUUUAUGUAUGUUUAUAAAUAUAUUUGUACUAAAAUAAAAAAAUCUAAAAUAAUAUAUCGAAAUAAUUGGUACCGAUAUAUAUUAUUUAAAAAAAAACUGAAAUGUUAUCCAAUAUGAUAUUAAUAACUUUAACAAAAUCACCUUAAUAAUAAAAUCAUUUAGAUGAUUAUAUUUUCAUGAUAAUAUUAAAAAUAACAUCUAAUGAUACCCUUAUUAUAAUUUUUUAAACUUCUUAGGACAAAUUAAUAAGAUAACACAAAUGUAUUGAAAAUAAAAAAUAUAAUUAGAAAUCAAAAUAUAUUAAUCUUUUAAUUUCGUGGGUGAAAUUAAAAAAUUACACAAAUAAUACAAAAAACGAACUCAAAAAUUAGAUGAAAGUAAAACAUUUGACACAGGAUUCUGUGGGCUAUGUAAGCCUUUAGAUUUUUUUUUCCAGAAUUCACGGUGGGCUAAAACCCAAUAUGAUCCAAAAUUCAGGUUCUUGGAUCCAUAGUUUAAGUAGCCUAAGAACCCAAACUUAGUCCACGAAAAUCUGUUAACUUUUCAUUUUCCAAACUACUUUUCAAAUAAUAUUUUUUUAAUUUCUUUUACCAGCGAGUCAGCCACCUGAUUCCGUGAUUCGAUCAACAAACCCAAACGUUUCGAAAUUACAGAACCAAAUCCUGAGAAUCUCAAUUUCCCAUCUCUGAUUAUUUUUUUUCUAACUUGUUUUUUCCCUAUUUUCUUUAUGAAAUUAAACUACUAAAAGAUGCAGUCUCUUGAAAGCAUCACAGAUUCCUCAUUUCCUCAAAACCCUAACAAUUCUUCUUCUUCUUCUGUUAAUGGGUUGUAUCGAUGGCUCUUUGAAUGUCAUGGAAUUUGGCAUAACUUAGCUCUUGUUAUUCCUUCUCUUCUAUUUGUUCUUUUCUUAGGUUUUCAAGCCAAAAGAAGCUUCCAAAAGCUCUCUCAUGGCAGGUCUUAUAUCAUGAUUUCUUAUUACGGUUGCCUUGGCUUGUUAGCUCGCUCAAUCUUGCUUGGUGUUCUCUUCAGGUUGAGGGUUUUCUUUUUUCUCUAAGUCGAUUUUAAACAUUUGGGUUGUUCUUGAAUUAGCUUGUUGAUUUCUUAAAGGAUGAAAUUAAAUUGCUUUUUGUUGUUUCUAGGAAAUGAAUGCACUUUUUAUUUUUAAUUCUUCACAAGUUUGUUUAGUUUAUAUCCAAAAUACUCUUUUUUUCUUUGCAUCUAUGGCAUACGCAACAACUAAAUGGUACCUAAAUUAGUGGAAUGUAAUUUGGGUGUCUUGGGUUCAUUAGAAAUGGCUUGAAAGUUACUAUACUUGAUGAUUUUUCGCGUUAUGGUAAAUUACAAAUUGGAUUAUUGGACAGUUUUCAAGUUUUAGUUUUUAGGUUAGGCUUCUUUGAUGUCGUAUGUAAGAACAAUGCUCAGAAGCCAAUAAUGAUAAUAUAUAGAUCAGUGAAAUGAAAAUAUGUAUAGCAAAAGCCUUCUUUGUCGAGCUUAGAUGUUCAAUAGAUGCGUCUAGGCACUAAGCUUUUGGUAUGGCAUGAGUUUGCGACUAACUCAUUCAUUAUCAUGAAUGGUGUAUAAUAUCAUGAUUGUUCCUUUUUCAUAGUGUAUGUUUCCGUUUCGUAAGCAUGAGUAAAUUUUUUUUUUUUUUACUUUUUUUUCCAUAUGAAUUGUGUAUUGGUUGAUCCUUAACAGAUACUGUUUUCUGCUUAAUCUGGCUUCUUUAAAAAUGAGUUGUGUUAAGCAGCUUGGCUGCUUAUCCUUUUGAUAGUUUGAAGAGUUAGGGUACUAAAUUAUAUGCUUUGAGAGAACUCAUAUCCACUAGGAUUUAUGAAACAUGACCUGCAUUGACCCUUGAAGAUUCUUAUUCUAGUUGCGAGUAAGUUAACUUUUUCUACUUCAUAGCUGGAUGGCUAGGUUUACACUAUUUACUGAUUGAUGCAGGCCUGGGAAUGCAGUCCUGGAAAGGAAAUGACAUGGAAUAUCUUAUCGUUGUUUACAACUUCUGGGAUGCUGUUCCUGGAAGUUAGCUUGGUGGCAUUUUUACUUCAAGGAAAUUAUGCUAGUGGGUUGGAGGCUUUGACUCGAACAUUUGUUGUUUCGGGGCUUAUUGUUGGUUUGGACUUACUUCUGAAGGUACUUCUUUUAUUCUUGAAUAUUUUAACCUUCUUUGAAGUUCCAUAUCUGUUGCUGGUGAAUCAGACGGUGGUGGAAAAACAAAACAGUUUCUUUCCUUACUGUACUUUACUAAAUAGCAGAGUCACCGAUUCCUGUGGCCUAUAUUUAGAUUGUUGACCUACUUUAACUUCUUAAGCAAUCUAGAAUGCUAAGUAUGAUUGUUUAUACGUGUUUAAGUUGUUUUAUUUUCUAAUAUGGAAAGACACACAAUGUUAUUCCUUUUUGUGUUUUUCCCCUUUUGAAUUCUUUAUAAUAUUUUUGCAUCAAUGCUUAAUAUGUUGUGAUAUUAAUAUUUCAAUGGUCUUUUCCCUCGUUUAGGCUAUUUACCUAUUUGGAUUUGGUGUCCCUAUGUUCACUGACAACACCGAACAUACACAUCAAGUGAAAUGGGGCUUGUGGGUUGUUCACAGGCUAGUGCUGACUGCUAUUUAUGGCUUCAUACUGUUUAUGUACCACUCUAAGUGGAGAGAAAGGUUACCUGGUAUGUUAAUCUAAGUCACAUACAUUUGUGCAGGUUAUUUAACAGUAGUUGCAUAGUUGUGUCACCUGGAAUCUUCUCUCUUAUUCUGCAGCAAGACCUGCAUUCUACAAAUAUGUUGCAAUCAUGUUCAUCUUGAAUGCACUAGCACUGAUUACUUGUGGACUAACUGGAAAUGGUGCUAGUUUUGGGUUUUGGUAAAUACAAGCUUGAUGCCCUUUUUUAAUUGAAGAAUUAUGUUUGUUAUUUAUAUUGGUAUAUUAUGUUCUUUUCCAAGGGUUUUUUUUUAAAAGAAUAGGAUUGACAGGUUGUACAGUGCCACAAUUGUUUGCUACCACGCCUUGUACCUUCCUCUUCUGUAUAUAACUUUUCUGGCAGAUUUUUUCCAGGUAAUCAUUUAUUUCGGAUUCAUAGCAAAAAUUUUAUCUUGUUAUUGAUUCUUUAGCACCUUAUAAUAUGUUAGUACGGUAAAAGUAUCUCCAAUGCCUGCAGGAGGAAGACUUGCACUUAGAGAAUGUGUACUUUCAGAGAUGAAAGAUGCUGGUUUCUUUGAUGCUGACUGGGAGUGAGCACUGUAUCAACUUUGAAUUACUAGAUUCCCUUUUCGUUAGGAUCUGUAAAUGAAAUUAAAUGCAAUUCAGAUUGUAAAAUGUCUGAUCAAAGGAUGGUUGAUCGAUCCAUGCAUGUAGUAUUUAUAGAUACUGCUCUGGUAAUGGCGACAGUAAUCCUAUAGCUCGUAUAUUUGUAAUAAUCUCCUGUUUUAUAAAUUUAAGUUGAUUGCAAAUAAAACUUGUCCAAUCUUCUUGUAGCAAAAAAACUAGAAGCAUUGUGUACGUUCUUGUAGAAUUUCUCUUUUAGUUUUUGUGUUAUUGUAAUAAAAUUCCAAUUAACAGCUUCAUGUUGAUGGUGUUUAUGCAUACUAAUAGAUUGGUUAUCCUUCACGGUUUCCCUUUGCAUUAUUACCGCAGGUUUGUUGAUAUUUACUCUUUGCCUCAGCUUAAUGGGGCUGAGGCAUCAAAUAUCCGAAACAUUAGCCGUAUCUUAUUCUCUUCGGGCUUCAUUGUGUCGGUUUCUUUAAGAGUGUAAAUGAAAUAUUAGUAUUUAUAAAUUAUUCGAAUUUAAUAUAAAUAAAAUUUUAAUUUGGAUUCAAUUAUUAUCGAGUUGUCGAGUUCGAGUUCGAGUAGCUCGACUUAUCGAUCGAGUUGAUUUUAAGUAUUUUUAUAUUUGAUUCGAGUAGUUCACAAGUUUAAUUGAAUUUUAUAUUUUAAUAUAUUUUAAUUAUUUUAAUUGAUAAAAUAUUUUAAACUCAAGUAUAAAUAAUUAAGUUUUUAUCGAAUAUAAGAAUUGAGUUUAUUUUUAUAUAUUAAUUAAGAUUAAUCAAAUGAAUUUUAAUAGUUAAAUUUUAUUUCGAAUCAAACUUAAAUUAAAAAAAUAAAAUUCGAUCGAAUUUGAAACUUUAAAUUUGAAAUUAAAAUUGAUUUAAAUUUAAUGUAUAUUUAUUCAAACUUUAUCGAUUACACUCUUAAUUUUAUCUAUGUUAGUGAAGCUACGGACAUCUUUUUCUAAGGCCUCAGUUGGAUUUAACUGAAGCUUCAGUGUGUUGCGUUUUCUUCACUUUUUUCCUUCAAUCUCACCGUGAUUCAUAUUUGGAUAACAUCAAUGAUGGUGAGUUUACUAGCGUGAAUCGCACUAAAACAUCAGUUGAAGACAGGACUUUUGGGGUUCAAUGGAUAACUAAUAUCCCAAUAAAUCUUUUUUAUUCACAUUAUUUUUUUUACAUUCUUAUCAUGCCCUUAAAUGAGUUUUUAGUUAAAAAAACCUAAAAUAUGAUUUUUUUAACUUAUUUCUCUCUCUUUCUGUUUCUGUCACCAUCUUAAAUUUUUAACCCUAAAUGCCUCCUCCUUCGUAUUAUCGCCCCUUGCUACUGUCACUUGUUCCAUUUCCCCUUGCUAUUGUCACUUGUUCCAUGUUAAGGACAUUAGAUAAAAAUAUUAUUUGAUAUUAAAAAAUUUAAAAUUUUGUAAUUAUUUAUUAAUUUAAAAAUAUUAAAUAUAUAUAUUUAUUAUACAUAAAUUUUAAUUUAAUGUUAAUAUAAUAUUUUAAUAAUAAUUUUUAUUUUUAUUAUAUUUUAUUUCACCAUUACUAUUAAUUUUACAUUUAAAUACAUAUUUCACUGUUGAUAUUAAUCUCAUCAUUACAAUAUUCAAUCUCAUCAUUAUAUUAACUAAUCUCACUAUCAUCAUAAAUUUAAUCUUACUAAAAUCAAUUCACUACCUAUAUAAAUGAACCCUAAACUAGCAUGAAAAACUUUACAUUAUGGAGCUUGUUGGAUUAAUUGUGGGUUAAAAUAUAAAAUAUAAAAUCAUAACUUACUCAUUAAAAUUUUAAUUAAAUUAAAUCAGACAACUCUCUUUAUUUUUAUUUUUUAUUUAUUUUUUUUUCUCGGUUUCAGCGUCACUCCACUUUUACACCUAAACAGCUCCCACUUCUUUAUUAUUUAAAUCUUUCAUUUCACGUUAAGUUAAAAAGGCCUUGCCCAUGAAUGGUCAAAACCAAAGAACGAGGCAAGACCCCACGUUCUUAACAUCUUUUGCAAUGGACCGACAAUCGGGCAUUACGCUUAAAAGUUUAAAGUUGAAAUUUUGAACUUGAUUUAUCAGUCUAAUACAAAAUCAGGUAUACAAAAUUUAUUCGAUUUCCACAGCCUAAAUUUCAAAAAAAAAAAAAAAAACAAAAAAGAACUUCUUGAAUAAAGUAGGAAUAUACAAAAGUCAACUCUUUUUCCAUCAAGAUUUUUUCAGAGUAUUAACAUCAGUAUAUUGUUGUGUGUUUCAUCAAUGGAAAGAUUGUAUUUGUAGGCAAACAAAAAAUAUGUCAUUUUCGAUAAAUAAAUGAUAGUGACUUACACUAUCAUCACGCAGUUGAUGCGUCUAAUAGUAUAAACAAAUGAUAAUGCUUAUACCAUUAUGUACCAAUAAAAGGAAAAAAAUUAGUGUAAUUUUUUAGAGUGAAAUUAAAUUCUAUCAUUUUAUUAAGAUUUUUUACAUUUACACAUUGAAUUUUUAAAAUUAUAUAUUAUAAUUUAUAUCAAUAAAAAAAUAAAAAAUAUAUUUUUUUAAUUUCAUUAAGCAUAUAUAUAAUUAUUAAUAAAAUUUUAAAUUAUAUUUUUUUAUAUAUUUUUUGUCAUAUUAUGAUAUAUAUUUUAAAUUCAUUAGAUCUAAUCAAGAAUAUUUUUUGACCGUGUACAUUUUNNNNNNNNNNNNNNNNNNNNNNNNNNNNNNNNNNNNNNNNNNNNNNNNNNNNNNNNNNNNNNNNNNNNNNNNNNNNNNNNNNNNNNNNNNNNNNNNNNNNNNNNNNNNNNNNNNNNNNNNNNNNNNNNNNNNNNNNNNNNNNNNNNNNNNNNNNNNNNNNNNNNNNNNNNNNNNNNNNNNNNNNNNNNNNNNNNNNNNNNNNNNNNNNNNNNNNNNNNNNNNNNNNNNNNNNNNNNNNNNNNNNNNNNNNNNNNNNNNNNNNNNNNNNNNNNNNNNNNNNNNNNNNNNNNNNNNNNNNNNNNNNNNNNNNNNNNNNNNNNNNNNNNNNNNNNNNNNNNNNNNNNNNNNNNNNNNNNNNNNNNNNNNNNNNNNNNNNNNNNNNNNNNNNNNNNNNNNNNNNNNNNNNNNNNNNNNNNNNNNNNNNNNNNNNNNNNNNNNNNNNNNNNNNNNNNNNNNNNNNNNNNNNNNNNNNNNNNNNNNNNNNNNNNNNNNNNNNNNNNNNNNNNNNNNNNNNNNNNNNNNNNNNNNNNNNNNNNNNNNNNNNNNNNNNNNNNNNNNNNNNNNNNNNNNNNNNNNNNNNNNNNNNNNNNNNNNNNNNNNNNNNNNNNNNNNNNNNNNNNNNNNNNNNNNNNNNNNNNNNNNNNNNNNNNNNNNNNNNNNNNNNNNNNNNNNNNNNNNNNNNNNNNNNNNNNNNNNNNNNNNNNNNNNNNNNNNNNNNNNNNNNNNNNNNNNNNNNNNNNNNNNNNNNNNNNNNNNNNNNNNNNNNNNNNNNNNNNNNNNNNNNNNNNNNNNNNNNNNNNNNNNNNNNNNNNNNNNNNNNNNNNNNNNNNNNNNNNNNNNNNNNNNNNNNNNNNNNNNNNNNNNNNNNNNNNNNNNNNNNNNNNNNNNNNNNNNNNNNNNNNNNNNNNNNNNNNNNNNNNNNNNNNNNNNNNNNNNNNNNNNNNNNNNNNNNNNNNNNNNNNNNNNNNNNNNNNNNNNNNNNNNNNNNNNNNNNNNNNNNCUAGUCAAACACAAAACUUGAUCAAGCAGACUACUGGUAGAUGUAGAACUUCAAGUGCCUCACCAUGCCUUUGAAAUUUCACAACCUUCAAGUCUGCCUCAUGCUAUAUGUACAAGAUCCAUCAACACCAAAGUUAUUCUACAUUUUUAAAAUAUAAAAAGAGACUUGUUUUCUCACAAUGUUAUUACUUUCCCUAAAUCAUAAGAGUGUGAAGUACUUUAUCCAAGACCAUACUCCUAGGGAGAAGACUAGCUGAAGAUUUCUUGUGACUAAUCGCUUUUAAAAUGCUUGCAAUGAAGAUAAACUUGAACAUAAGAGCCAAGAGAAAAAAAUAAUUAGCUUCGAGCCUUAACAACAUUAUAAUUUUUCUUAGCAAAAGAAGUUAGUAUAAAGGAAACAUCAUACCUGCUUAAAACGAACAUCUUCAGACUCCUCUUGGCUCAAUUCUGAAAGAAAAUUUCCUUUAUUUCAGUGCUUUUGUUUUUGCUUGGUUUAGGAAUAGUUAUUAGAUCCAAAACCCAAUUACCAUAAACGGGAGUAAACAGAAUACAGGAAUAGAUGCAUAACAAACACUUCCAUUCACUUAAGCAAGCACAUUACUGAGCUUAAGACGAAAAAAGGUUUAUAUUAAUCAGUACUAGGAAUUGAGAUUAACUUACCAAAUGCCUCAAAUUGACCCUCAGUUGGUAGUUUCACCUCAUCUGCAAACAUGAUAACAGUAAAAAGGAAAAAAUUGUUAAGCAACCGACACAUCUUCUGCAUUUUAAAGCAUGCCACUCAUGCACAACUUUGCAUUGACAAUGAAAUAUCAAUUCUAAAGAUGUUAUUACAUGCCAAUAGAAUGGCAGAUUCUCCCUUUAUUAAUAGAUGUCAUGUUGUUCGAAAAGGAAAGAAAAAUAAUACCAGUUUUUAGCAAAUUCUGGCGUCGAUUUUUAGCCAUUGCAAAUGCAACUGCAUCCUCUACCUUCAGAAAAGAUAAAUUAUUUAAAAGAACCACCAAAUACAGGGGAAAAUAUUCUUUAAGACUGCAAGCAAACUGACCAUGUCAUGUGAUAUUAUCAUUAAAUUGAUAAAAAAUAAUAAUAAGAAAGCGCAUAAGAAGGAAGAUAGCAUGUGCUAUUACAUCCAUAACUCUUGAUGAAUUGAUGAUAAGUGAGAAGAAGAUAGAUGAUAUCACAACUGCAAACACAAGGGAUACGGCAGAAGAACCCUUAAAUAAAGCCAGUUCCCUUAGACCGUUUCUAACUAAAAGCACUGCCUUUCAACAUUUCUCUCUCCAGAUACGUGCACCAAAGUCUUGCAGGACCUUUUCUCUUUCUUCUAAAUCAUUGUUCGCUGUUCAUAUGGAGAUAGACAACAAAGAUUAAGCAAAACUGAGGACAUUUAGUUUUCUCUCCACUAGAGAGAGAGAGAGAGAGAGAAUUUGAGGACUCUAUAGAGCAUAAAAAACCAAAUGGAAAAGAUCAUCGAAAUAGUUCAUUUUCCAAUCCUAUCAAAAGGUCAGAUGGAAUAUAUGGAACGUGGUUGAAUUAAAGCAUGCCAGAUCAAAUGGAAAUCUUACAUUGAAGAUUCCUCCCUCUUUGGCCUCUUUGCCCAGCAGCUAAUACUAUUUCAACGGAAGAGGAGCAAAUGAUGACCCAAUAUUCAUGUUUUGCCCCAGCUAUCUCUGCCUGAAUACCUGCAAAAGGUCAUGUCCUUGAGAAAUCUAAGCAGCUUCAUACAAAAUGUACAAAAGACAGAAUUAUGGGUUUGCACAUUAAAGAAACUGACUGCAGUUGCCAACUUUAAUUACUCUCAGGAUUCACCUAACCAUUUUAUAUUGGAACGCAGUGCUUUAACUUUUAUGGUGAUUAUUAGAGGCAACUGUUUAUCCAAUACAGCAGCAUCAACUCAAAAACAAUCAGGAAUUUCACGUAUUUAAAUAUCAACACUUUACCAUGUUCCACACAUAAACUCCAAUAACGAGCAAGCCAGCAUCUCUUUAAAACAACCUCUUCCUAAGAUGAAAACUGCAGAUUACGUAACUAUGACAUAAAGGAGUAAACUGACAAAAUGAUUUCUGCAAGAUUAGAAAUAAAGUCAACCAUCUCUUCCUCAGUCAGCAUCAUCCUUUGAGUUACUGUUUGCAGAGAUUUGAUUUCACACUCCGCUUCAUGGAGCUUAUCUAAGGCAGAUGUUGCUUCAUCUCUGGCAAUCUAGCUCAUAAUUAUAGAACAGAGAAAAUUAAGUUAAGCAAGAACAUUUCCCCCUUUUUAAGAAUGGUAAAAUUCAAAAGAAAAAGCCAGAGCAUACAACAUAAAAUUUCAAAAUACCUCAGCCUCUGUCCGAAGAGAAGCAAUCUGUUCGGGUAUACCACCAUGAGUUUGCGUUGCAGCUCUUAAAGCAGCCUGCAAGAAGAACAAUGUCAUAUGCUACUCAGCUGCAGUUCAUAAACCAUGUCCAGACUAAAAUGUAAAAGUAAAAGAAUUAAAGUAGCACAAUGAUUUUUGCAAAAAGAAGUCAGUUAUAAGCAACAAAGCAGGACUAGAUAGAUCUACAAAAGCAAUGAAACUAUUGAAGAUGUUAAGAAUGAAUAAAGCAUGACCUCUGGCAAUCCUUCCUACAGAUCUAAAGCAAACACCAACUUCUGUGCUUAGUGUCUAUUGACUGUUGAGUCGGCAUUUAUUUUUACAUAUCAGAUUCUCAUUUUAAAAUUUAUGCUAAAAAUUUCAUGCACAUGCCUGCUUCAGGUGUAUAUAAUAAACCUAUCUAUGCAUGAAAGCAGUACCAUCUCACAAAGAGAGAUGCAUAAAAAGAUGCAGAAAUAAGCAUAAAUAAACUCAGUAAACACACACUUACAAGACAAAAGAAUGUCUUUUAAGGCUCAUAGUUAUCGAGUAUUAUGUAAUUUUCCAUGCAUAAUGAGACUGAUAACACAUGCAGAUUAGUUUGAGACAAGAAAAGAGUGGCACUCUUUAGAAGUACAAACCUCCCUUUCCUGCAGGGCUGCCUCCUUUCUGAAGAGGAAGACAAAUAGCGCAUAAGAAAAAGGAAAAAUAAAUCACAAUAUAACAUUAAAUUCUUGUAAGCCAUAAACUUGCCUGCUUAAAAGACGUGCUUCUAAAGUUACACCUUCUCCAAGAUUAGCAAUCUAUAUUGAACAUGUUAUGAAUCAAGUAAACAAAUACAUAAUUUUGCUUGCUGGAGCGGUAUAAAGUUCAUUUACAUUUCUCUUGUUUAGUUUUCUUUAAACUGAGAAAAGUUCACCUGUUUCUCAAGCUGCUGAGCUCUUGCUUCUGCUUCCUCACACCUCUCCUCUGCAAGUUGAAGCUGGGAAGGCAAAUAUCAUGGGCAAAAAUAACAGUAUAAGACUAUUAUUAACAUUUUCCGUAGGCCAAAGCACUUAGUUGGCUAACCUAAUUACAUCAGAGUUUUUGGGAGAAAAUGGUGUUGCAAAAGUUAUAUCCAAAUGCCAGUAUUCAGAUAGAUUAUGCCCGUUCAUUUGAAGAUAACUGUUGCAACAAUUUAGGAUAUUGGCUCAGUGCUUGAAGAUGAUGGAGAGCCAAAUUGAUGUGCAUGAAUACAAUAUCAUUUUUCCAAAUAAAACUUUUCAUACAACUUUACUAGAUACAACAAUAGAACAAGUUACAUAACAAAGAAGAAAAAAGUUGCUGGAAUCACCUUUUCAAUUAAACUUUCAUUUUCAUCCUGUAGCAUAUCAAGCUGCCAUGAAAUUCACACCACAUUACUGGAAGAUAAAAAUAAACAUUUUCCUAAGCUUCUUCAUGUGUUUGAUCACAUAGACUGAAAAUUGAAGUGUUCAGACUUGAACAAAUUAAUUAGGUUUUUGAAAAAGAAGAUAUGAUGACCUAUACACCUGCUUUCAAAUAAUUCCUUAGAAACAAAAAAGAAAAAAAUAAAAUUGCAACGAAUAUAUGCUAGAAGGAAACACAUAUUUAGCUUAACGUGACUGUACCUCAUCUUGUAAAGCAGAAGUAGACUGCUGUCUUCCCCUAUCUUUCAAACUGCUCAUACUCCCAAAAUCUGAAGACAAUCUGCUUACACUAUAAAUUUUAGAGCACUAUAGAUGAAACAAAGAAAGAACCUAAACCAGUGCAAUGGGCAUUUUACAUGAUCCCAGGAUCUUGAGACCCUAACAUUAUUAAUUGAGAAAAACGCAUGACGGUGAUGGGCUUAAAUAUUUCCAGGGGAGGGCAUUAUGCAUUCUUGAAUACUGGAAGAGCAGCAACAAAGCCUUUCUUACUGUAGAGAUGAAAACAUAAGGACCUGAAUUACUCAUAUAUAUCUAUUAUCUUGUGACUAUGUUAUAUAAGAAUGUUCUUAAUGUUGUUUAAAUUUAUGACACUCAAUCGCUUCUAAAUCACGAAUCAGAGAAGUUGCUCCAUUUGAUGGCAGAUUUCCUCAUUCUCUUUCUAAUAUAUCUAAAACUUCAAAGACCAAGUUAAAAGGGAAAAUUCACAUUAUAUGUAUAAAACUAACAAAAAAAUAUAAGGGUGACGAAAGAAAAAAAUUGGAGGGGAUUACGAUAUGGAUGAUAACUUCAUCCUUCAAACUGAAAUCACACCAGCUUAGAGCUAUAAUAUACUGUUUAUCUCUCCGAUUAUCAGUUGAAGCCUCUGUUGAACUAACAGAUGAGGUUGGCUUCAGUGGCAUAGGCACUGUAUGAGGUAUCACAGGAACUGCCUUGACUCCUAAAUGUUGGCGACCUGAUGCUGUGGAACGAGCAGAUAAAGGUUGCUCUAUGGAUCUGGUUAAUGGACAUAACCGGCCAGCAGUUGGCUGUUCUGCAGAACCCUGCAGAGAUGGUUGUCCGCCUGAAAUGGAAUAAGGAGACAUGGGUUGCUCCACAGAGCUGAUAGAGUGAGAUGGUUGGCCACUUGAAUAAGAUGAUAAUGGUUGCUCCAUAUUGUUGACAGAUAGAGAGGUUUGACUGCCUGGUGUGGAACGUGUAGAUGGUGGUUGAUCCUGAUUGAUAUGAACUGACUAAUAGCAAAUUUAAAGUUACAAGUAAGAAUUACAUUCAUAAGUAAUAUAAGCAUUAAACAAACAAAAAAUUUAGAUAACUGAGCAUACUCAGUUAACAGACAAAUUACCGAGGGAGAAGAUGAACGUAUUGCUUUUCCACAAGCAAGUCCAAUGGUUGCUGUGCCACUCGCUGAACUAUUAUUAUUUGCAAGGUCAUCCACAUCAUUGUCCUCAUCACCUGGUUGCUGUGCUACUUGUUGCACAGGCCUUUGAGCCAUAGUUUUGGCCUGUGUUUACGAAUGGAAGUCCAUAUAAGAAUGCAUUUCUCAGUAGCAUAAAACUCCAGCAUUAACCGUAAAUCUUUUCCUUAAACUCACAUCAUAACUUGUCUGCUCAAGCUCAUGCUUCUUCUCUCACAUUAGCAUGACAAGCAAGAAAUAGCUAAAACAAAUUCAUAAUAGGAAAUCACAUAAUUACCAUAGAAGGGCGUGACUGCAUUGCCCUACCACGAGCAAUACCAAUGCUUGCUCUGCCACUAACUAAAAGGUCAUCCUCAUCAUCGCCCUUAUCAGAUGCUUUCCGUGUAGUAACUUGUGGCAGCCGCUUCUGAGUUAUGUUUUUAGUCUGCAAAAUUAUACAGUGCUAGUCCACUGAGAACAUAUUUGUUGGUAGCAUCAGGCUUUUGCAUGUAAUGUGUAAGUCACAGAAGUUACAAACUAACGAUUAGACAUCUAUGAAUUAUCUUAUUCAACAAAUUCCUUUGCAACUUAAUAUUAAACUUUCUUCCCUAAACACAUUUCAAGCAGCAACCCAAUUAUAAACAACAAUAUGUUCAAAUCACCAAAUUUGUACUGAUAAGAAAAUCAAAUAAGUAAUUUUGCACGCAAGACCCAUAUGGUUACCAAACAACUAGUCAGCUGAAUAAUACACUUCUCUUUGUAAUAAGUAAUAAUGCAUUAAGGAAUAUUCGGAGUCCUUAAAGACUAAAUCAGUCAAUUACUGAUUUCCAGUGCUCAAGCAUGCAUGAACAGGUCACUCAAUUAUUAGCUUACGACUUAUCUUGUUCACACUCUCACGUUCCAUUUCAUACAGUGUUGACAAAAUGUUACAUUUAUCAGAGACAGCUCAAGCCAAGCUUAUAAAAACACAGUACUUUCAUAGCUCCAAAAGUUAAAAUGACAAAAAGAUAAAUUUAAAAUUUUAAGUCUGAAACUUAAACAACUUGAGCAAUUUUAGAUAAAACCUAUUAUAUGUCCAGAGAAUUUAAAAUUUGUUAUAAAUGUAGCUCAAACUAAGAAUUUAACUUGUCUAAUUGCAUUCAUUUUCUUUCCCUGAGGCUCACUAGACAAACAUGUCUAUCUAAAUCAGAUAGUCAUAUAAUUACCGCAGGAGAGCAUGACUGCAUAGCCCUUCCACCUGCGAGCCCUAUGCUUGAGGUACCACUCACUAAAAGGUCAUCAUCAUCAUUGUCCUCAUCAGAUGGUUGUUGUGGUGCUCGCCUUUGAGCUAUGUUUUGUUCUGGGUUUUACAAGAUAACUUGCAGUAAGAACAUAUUUAUUUGCAAUGUAAAACCAGCUAGCAUGCUAACAUGAACAAGCUUUAGAGCAGCAUAAGAGAGUUUGAAAUACAUUACAAUGCAUGACAAAUUGAUAAUACAGUUAAUAGUGGUCAAAAAAAUCUUUUAUAGAGAAGUGUUAUUUUAACUUGUCAAAUGGAAUUUAUUGAACUACAACAAGUUUGUGCGUCUCACUUUGACACACAUGCAGCUGGUAUAGCUAAAACCAAAUUUGUGUUAGAUAAUUACUGCAGGAGACUGUGACCGCAUUGCCCUUCCACCAGCGAGACCUAUGCUAGCUGUGCCACUGACUAAAAGUCCAUCCUCAUCAGCUGGUUGUUGUGUCAUCACUACUGGAGCUCGCCUUUGAGGCAUGUUUUUGUGCUGGAUUUUACAAUGCAAGUCCAAGUAAGAAUAAAUUGACUUGCAAUGUCAUAAGUCAUAACUCUACCACAUGCAACCAUGAACAAAUUUAGAGUUUAGAGCAGCAUAAGAGAAUUUAAUACUUAAUUGAGUCAUGAUCAUAGCUAAGGAAAGUGUCUUUUAACUUGCCUAAUUCAACUCGCUCUUUUUUCUCUUACCUCUCACUUAACUAACAUAGCAUAGGUCAACCUAAACCAAAUUCCUAGUAUUAGAUAAUUCGAUAUAAUUACCAUAGGAGAGCGUGACUGCAUUGCUCUUCCACCACCAAGCCCUAUACUUGGCGUGCCAGUCACUAAAAUGUCAUCCUCAUCAUUGUCCUCAUCAGCUAGUUGUUGUGUCAUUGCCUGUGGAACUCGCUUUGAGCCAUGUUUUUGUUCUGGAUUUUACAAAGUUAAACCCAGCUGGUAAGAAGUAAGAAUUAUUUAUUUCCAAUGCCAAGCUCUUGCAUAGCAAAAUAGUGUUGAAAAUGCCCAUUAAAGAAAAGUGCCUAUGACAGAACUGAUAAGGGGGUAAGUUUAAAAAAAACAUAUAAAGAUAUUUUAAUCCAUUGUUUCACUUCUUAAACAGUUCAUUAUUCAUACUGAUAUGAAGCUUUAAUCUCAAAAUUAAUGUAAAAAUUGUCAAAACCAUCAUGUUUCGAACACAUACUUGUAUCCGACACCCUACCCCUGAGAUCACGUAACAUUAAAUUACCAUAGGAGAACGAGCACGAGUUGCUCUUCUACCAGCGAGUCCAAUGCCUCCCGUGCCAUUAAUGUUAUUAUAAUCAAGCUGGUCAUCAUCAUCACCCUCCACGUUUUGCUGGUGUGCCAUAACAGCCGCCAGCCUUUGCGCCGCCGCUUUCGUUUGCGCUUUCUUCAUGUUCCCCACGCUUGCGUAGCUUGAUCCCGACCGUCCGUGGCGGUGUAUCGGCGACGAUGAUGUCAGUGGUGAUGCCGGCGUCCCUGGCGUCUCCGAGUCCACCGUGGUCUGAUGUCUCUCGUAUGCUAACUUCCUCCUAUUCAUAUUGACUGCAAUAAACAAAUUGAAAGCAAAAAGAAAAAGAAAGAUAAAUCAAUCCAUAUUAAAAGAAACAAAUACAAAAAACUUAAGAGUUGAACUUAAAACUUACCAGGUUGAUCAAAGAGAAGACUCUGUUUUUCAGUAAAAGGUAAGAAAAACAAGCAUUGUUCCGUGACACAAAAUGGAAAAGAAUGAGAAAAUGGUGAUUAGUUUUCCACGAAAAUGUGGGAAAUUGGAAUAGUUUACGGGGACGCAUUUGAAGUGAAAAAUGGUAAACCAAAGGAUCCGAUAAUUAAGGCAAGAAAAGAGGAAGUUUUAACGGUCCAUUAUUUUUUCUUUUUCUAGAACUGAAAGAUUUUCUUUUACAUGUCAAAUACGUCCCUGUGGGGUGAAUGUCUAAUUUCAUUAUAUUGAGGAAUAUUUUUGCAAUUACCUAAAGUAGUAGUGUUAUACGCUUGUACUGACUCGUUCAAUAAACACUUUUUUAAACAAUAUAACAAUUGAAAGUGCAUUGUUUUUCAUUUAACAACUUUUUUUUUCAUAUUUGAUACUCCUUCUGUUUCAUAUUUUAUGUUCUUAUUUGUUUUUUGGAAUUAAAAAAAAAAGAGAGAUUUAACAUGCAUUAUUAACUUUAAUUUUUUGUAAAAUAUAUAAUUCCUAGUUUUUAAUAUCAAAAAAUAAAAAAUUAUGAAAAAAAAAGUUUGGAAUAUAAAAAAAUUAAGAAUUUUAGGUUUUUAAAAAAAUAUAUAAUUUUGAAAAAAAAAUGAGAUUGAAAGAGUAAUGACAAUACAAUAGAAUUCUUUUAAUUCUUCUAUAAAAAAAAUGAAAUUCUUAUAAAACCUUUUGUAGUGGUAGAAAUGUUUAAGUAAAAAUCAUUUGUCUUAGGCUAUGUUUUCCAUGCACUACCAUGUUAAAUUCAAAUGGUAACAAAACAAGAAUUUUUUUACUAAAUUUUUUUUAUUAAUGUUUUAUUUGGAUGACCAAUAGAAAACGAUUCCUACCACAUCAUCAUUAGAAACCGGAUUGCGACAAUGCAAGCACUGAUCACUCAGUAAUCUGAACUGGAAACCUGUUCUUUUUCUUGCUUUUGAAACACCAUUGGUGUUUUUUCGUACAAUUGCGAGCGAUUAACAGUAAGAACCAGGUCAAUAAUGUUGGAAUUUAAAAAAACAAAUAGGAAUGAAUAAGCAAAACUGAUAGAAGAAAAUAUCAAAAGAAAAAAAAAAAAUCUUUGACUUUAAAUGCAAAACAAAAUAGGAAAAACACAUAGGUUAGCAAAGACAUGUCACAACAGCAUUUUGAUGCAAUAUUUCUGGAAGACAGCAAUAAAAUGUUUUACCUGCAUACAGUAAUAAACUCAAUUUUUAUUUAAGCAUAAGUGACCAUUCGCUAUUCAACACCCAAUUAAACACAGAUGCAGAGAGAAAACACCAAUUUAGAACGCCUGAUACCAAAUAGUCCAACAAAAAAACAUUUCCUCGAUGUAACAUAGCAUGCUAAAAUGACAAAGUUCCUUCACCUUGACAGGAAGAUGGCAGUCGGAUUUCCAGGGGAUGGAGGAUUCUGCUUUAGCAGGGAUGCAUGAGGACCAGCUUGAACAUAAGCAUCAGGAUCAGUGGCCGACAAGACUUCUACCUCUUCAAGACCAAGUUGUCUUUUGAUCAAGUCCAAGUUCUCCUUAAGGACCUGAAUCUCUCCAAAGGGCAGCUUCAAAUCCAGGACUUGGGCACCAAUUUUAAUAGCCUCAUCCUUCUUGAACGUCAAGAAUGGCAUACAACGUUUCUGGAUCUGUUUAAAGUCUGCUGCCUGACCAACAGUGCUCUCCUGCAAUGCGUUCAUUAUCUCCCCGUCUGAUGCAAAAGUAUGGGUCUUAUUGUCGAACUUGCUUUGGAGAAUCUGCAAACACUCUGCUUGCCAUCCUUCAAAUUGCUCAUUCACAAAGAUUAGGCCUUUUAACUUGUCCUCAGUUAGCGAUGUAACAGGAGCACCUUUCUUAUUAGCUUUCUUUGAUCCCAAAAUCUGCUUCUGGAGCAGCUUUCUCAUCAACACAAUGGAAUCUUGCAAAUACUUAUCGGCACUCUUGAGUUGCAGAUCUGGAGAAUCUGCUGUGGGCCAGCCUGCUUUCACCACAAAGCCAUCCUUCUUCAAAAGCUCUCUCCAAACAAACUCCGCAUAGUGAGGGCAGAUUGGAGUGAUAAGCCUAGUCUGCACAUCCAUAAACCGCCAUACGAGGUCACGGUUCAUGCCCCCACUGCCACAAGAGAACCUAUACUCAUCCCUGGCAGCUUGAAGAUCAUAAAAGCCAGUCUUGAGAGCCUCCCGAAACAUGUAAUCCCUAUAAUUCUGCUCAGUCAUUUUGACAGCAAUGUUUAUCUCAUUUUCAAACACCCGAUCAGCAUAGGUAGAUGGGGGAUCUGUCCUCAAAGACGAUUCUGCAGCCAGAAUCUCUUCCAUCCAUGCAAUCUCUUUUGUAAGCCGUAAGAUUGCAGCAUUGGCAGUCUCAAACACAAAGUUUGCAUCAUCUACACCAUCCCCAGCAUCAGCCAGAGAGAAUCUUGUAGCAUCAGCAGAGAAUUCCUCAAUUGCCUGAUGCAGUGUCCUGAAAUUUCCAGUAGACUUGGACAUCUUCUCUGAAUUAAGCAUAAUAUGUCCAUUGCACCUGAAUCCACGAGGCCAGUGAUCCUUGGACAUGAUUGCUGUGUGAUUGUAGAUGCAAAAUGUUAAAUGGUUCUGGAUAAGGUCUUUUCCAGAAACUCUAAGAUCAAAUGGAUACCAGUACUCAAACUCCUGCUUCAUCUUGUUAAGAACAGAGGAUGGGAUAUCAGAAGAUUUGGGAUACUGACCACCACAGAAGAGAAAUUCCCAGACCUCAUCAGUCAUCUGGGCAGGUUUAACCAGAUCGGCACUUUUUCCGUACAUGUCCCCAUUUUGUAAAAGAUGAGCAACUGUGUAAUAAGCCAUGUAAAUGGUUGAGUCAGAUAAUGACUCAACAAGGAAUUCUGCAUCCCAAGGAAUGCGAGUCCCAAGCCCAAAGGAUCGUGAGCAAGCCCAUUGGUUCAGCCAUCCUAAAGUAUGUUCAAAGCCAUGUCGUGUCUCAUCAGAGUAUAGAUUCAUGUUGGAUAAGCACUCCUCAGCUACUUGUUUCCAUUCCGGUUCCCCAUAUGUGAUGUACCAUUGAUCUGUAAGAGCCACAACACACUCAUCACCAGACCUUGACAUAACCUUCUUCUCAGGCUCACUAUAAAUUAUUGCCUGGCCUGUCUCAAUCAGUUUGGUCCUUAUCAGUGCCUUAGCUUCCUGGACUCUUCUUCCUGCAUACUCUCCAACAGUCAUGGUUCCCUCUGUAAAACCUCUCAAGUACACCAACCUCUUCGCCUCAGCAAGCUUUUCUUUCUCAUUCUGACUUUUGAUUUUCAGAUCCACACAAACUUUUUCAGCUGCCCUGUCUCCAAAUUCUGGAAUGUCAAUGAUGGGUAUAAUCUCAAAUGGCAAUACCCAUUCAUCCUUCACCCCAAACUUUGCCCGAAAAGCGGGUUUUGCUUUCAAAUCAUGUAAGGCCAUAUAAUCAUCAGGAGCAUCGCUAGGAACACUGGUCACGAUCCCUGUACCUUUGUCUGUUAGAAUUGUCAUCAUUGGAAGAGCAUAUAUGAUCUCAUUAAAUGAGAGAGGAGAUUUUACAGGAAGACCAAUCAGAUCAUAACCAGUCAGUUCAACCAAGCAAUUAGGUUUUUCAGGGACGCGGGAGAGCUUCUGAUAAGCAAGGUUGAGUGCUGCUCUCUCAGUCAGAAUAAAUAUCUCAGUUUCAUUGAUUUCAAAGGCUCCGUAUUUCCCAUUAGGCAAAACCCAGCAGUUUGUUUGCCCAUACAUGGUCUCAGGCCUCAAUGUUGCAGCAGCCAAAAACACUUUUUUCCCUUCCAAAACACGCAUUUUAGCUGGAAAAGGUGGCACCACUUCCAUUUUAAUAAUAGUAUACUCUUGAGGCUGAACUCCUUCACCAGUUGCCCUAUCAUGAUCAGCACAUGGCUGACUAUCCAAUGGAGAAUAUAUAGUAUACCUCAUAUCUUUAACAAUCUUACCCAUCGAUUUCAACUUCCUCAUCUGCCACUUAACAAACGAAUCAAAAAACGGAUUCAUAUCUGUGGUCACAAAUGACCUUCUCCAAUCACAACCUAAUCCAAAAGCCUUGAGGUCUUGAACAGCCAAUGGCGGAAAGAACUUCAACCAUUCAUACGGGUUCUGAAACUUUGAUAUCUCACUAUCUGAAAGUCCAAAACUCCUCAUAAUUUCCCACUGAAACAUCUGUCCACUAGAUUUCGAUGCCGCCUUAGACUUUUUACCUUUAAACUUAUCAGGCGCCACAUUGGCAUCUUCAUUUGGGUCAGAUUCUUCUGUUGGGUUAGGUUCCUCAUCCACUACCUCAUGAGGAAAAAUGGGUGGAUCACCAAAUUGUUUGAUUUCCCUAGCAAGUUUAUCAGCUGAAGCCUUGAUUGGCAUACCGGUACAGUGAAAAGCAAAAGGCAAUAACACAUUGGCACCUCUUAAUCUAUGAUAAGCAGCAGCAAACUCGAGUUUCGAAAGCGAAAAGGCAUGGCCCAGAUGUAAAAAACCAUUCAUAUAAGGAAAAGGAAAGUUCCCAAAGAAUUUUUCACCUGGUUGAGGUGGUUUUUCAUUAGGUUCAGCUUUAAACACAUCUUUUUCUUCCCACCAAACUCUAACCUUUGACUCGAUUUCGAGGAGUUUGUCUCUCCUGGCAUAGCUCUUGCCUCCCUCUGUUGCCAUCUCGUGAAACCAAUGGAAACUGUUCAAAACCAAAACAAAAUAAAAUUCAUGAAAAUGAAACAGAAAGAAAACCAAAAAAAAAAAAAAAUGGAAGAAUCUUUGGAAAGGAAAGUGCCUGAGUUUAUUGAGGAAGAUGGUGUUGUGCCUACGAAGAAUCUUUGCUGAGUUGCAACGGAUAUAGAGCAAAUGAGUGGAGAUGAAGGAGGAUAAAGAGAAAAGGGGGAGACUGCGUUGAGUUUCAGUUCCAGUUACAGGGCUAGAUUCUCAUUGUUUGUUUUUACAGGUUUUUAGGGUUUUAAUGAUUAUUAAUUUUAAAUUAAAAAGGCCUGCCCCAACUUUUUAACAGAUCAAGAAACAGACCCAAUGUAGGAAAUAACCCAAUUUCAACAACUUUUAAUCAGACUGAGAAAGAGAAGCCCAACUAGGGGGGCAACUAACUGAACUGGACCAAUCCCAAUCUUAUGCUUAAGCCGAAACCAAAUUCGUGCCAUUUUUCUAUAUUAAAAUGCAGGAGGGGCAAUUUUAAAAAUGAGUAAAACUUUUUAGGUUGUAAAAUUGACAAAAUUUUUAUAUAAGUAUGAUCAAAUUGUCAAAUAUAUUUUGUAUUUGAUAUGUUCACACUGAUUGUAAUAAUAAUUUUCAUAUUUUACUUGACAUGAAAUAAAUAUAAUAUAAAUAUAUAAAUUAUUAUGUCUAGAUUUAGUCUGUUGCCUAAAUAAAAAAAUCUAAUUGUUGUAUAAAGAUAGUUUUUCAACCUUUAUGCUUAUUGCUUUGGAUCAUCUGAAAUUCUCGUAGCCAUAAUUAACCAAAAUUCUGCCAAAUGCUAUGGCCCCAAAAUUUGUUUCUCAUCUCAUUGAAAUAGAUAGUUGCCGACUAAGGGAUCACUUUGUUGGCUUCCAUUUGUUAUCCUGGUCAGUCUGCACUUUUGAGCAAUUUCAUUCGUUCAAAACUAAGCAGGAAUCUGCUAUGCAAAAGUACAAAUCUGGUAUUACAACCAGACAAAACAAGAUUACAUAGGAAAAAACUAAUGCACAAAGAUUCUCCUUGAUUCAGCUUCCAACUUUGGCCGCAGAUGAAUUUAUAGGUUUGUUUUUGUAGUCAUGGACAGACAAUUAAUUCUUGUCCGUCAUUUUUAUUUUCUUGUUUUGGUGAAUACUAAAUAUAACUAUUAUUAUUUGUCCUUCGAAAAACAAGGUCAUUGUACCAUAAUAUUAAGUGUAGCCAAUUGGCAAAGCUAGAAACAAAUACUAAGUAAUUUCAGUAUCUGUUCUCAAGAAGGAAGCUGAUAUCCCUUGAUUGCAGGACGGCGGAUUCUUUGGUGGUAAGGAUAGAGUUGACUCCUGAAAAUUUUCCUGGGAAAAUUUACUUCAGUUUAUAGAAGAAAAUGGCAAAGCCGGCAAUGAGAUUCCAAUAAUCAUGGACAAUUGGCAAAGCCGGCAUGUAUAUGUGAUGGGGACUUUAGCUAUGGAAACCUACUGCACAUUUGAUGUGAAGGUAAAUCAAUACUACUUUGAAAGCUAAAAAUAGUAACUGAAUAAAAGAGAUUUAAAGCAAGAAUAUUUAACAAUAUAUUUGAUUGUUGUUUUUGUGCCAAAAGAGUUUAAAAAAAAAAUGUGUCAAUAGGGAAAGCGAAACUGAUAGCAAAUCACUUUGUAAUAGCAAAGCCAAGUAAGGGCUCAUUUCUUGCACUUGCAGAGGAAAAUUAGACAAAAAUCAUGUUCUUCCAUCACCCCUUUUCACUGGAAUAGAAAAAAAUUGAAGUAUUACAACUGGUUUUCGUUGAUUUCAAAGGUAGUAGGCUGGCUCACAAUUUACCUUGGAUGAACAAUGAGUAAGGUUGGUUUAUAGAAUUCUCUCUAAUGUACAUUUUUUAAUUCCUUAGUGACAAAGACAAUGGGGAAAUUAAAGUCUUUGGAUAGACAUUUCAAAUGCAAAAUUCCAAAUGGGAAGAAAACGAAGCAAUAGUACUAUAAAAGUUGUUUGGGACAGCAAUUAGUGCAUUGAAUCAUUUAAAGCACUUCUGUCCCUUUUUUUCAAUGGUCCAAAGUCUCAACCACAAAGCAUAAAGAAGAAGGCAACCGAAAUGAGAAAUUGUGAAGGAAAAAGUUCAAUGUUCCAAGUCUUCUUUCCUUCCAUCUUAAAAUUUGUCAUCAUAGCCUGCCUAACAUUAAUUUUUCCAGCUCCAACCUUAUCCUUGCAGUCUGCAAUCAAUGUUUGGCCUAAACCGAUACUACUUUUAUGGCCAAAGCCACUUGCCACAUUCCUCUCUCCAAACUUCACCAUCAGUUCCCCCAACCACCAAUACCUCAUCCCGGCCAUCAACCGCUACCUCCGCCUUAUCCAGACAGAGCACCACAAUCCCCUUGUCACCCCUUCUGUCAACAUUUCCACCUCAUCCCCUCCUUUGCAAACUCUUACCAUCAAUAUAAUUGAUCUCACCGCCCCCCUCCAACAUGGGGUCAAUGAAACCUACGCCCUCUCCAUUUCUGAAGUAGGUGCCACCGCCUAUUUGACAGCUGCAACUACAUGGGGUGCAAUGAGGGGCCUAGAGACGUUUUCCCAGCUGGUGUGGGGUGAUCCCUCAGCUGUUCCGGUAGGCUUGUACGUCUGGGAUGCUCCCUUGUUUGCUCACAGGGGAGUCAUGUUGGAUACAUCAAGGAAUUAUUAUGGGGUGGAUGACAUAUUGAGGACUAUUGAAGCAAUGAGUGCUAACAAGCUUAAUGUGUUCCACUGGCAUAUUACUGAUUCACAUUCUUUUCCUCUAAUGGUGCCUUCGGAGCCUGAGCUUGGUGCCAAGGGAUCUUAUGGACCUGACAUGAUAUACUUUCCCUCAGAUGUGGCUAAGAUUGUUCAGUUUGGCUUGGAACAUGGGGUCAGAGUCCUACCAGAAAUCGAUUCACCAGGUGAGCUUGUCAUAACAGUAACUUUUUCCUCUAAAAAAGCGUGGUAUGACUGUUCAUUUUUAUAUUAACUGAUAAUAAUAGUUUCAUGCUUUUAUAUAUCAGUUUAUAAAUUGACAUAUGUAAAAUUUUUGUUGUAUUUUAUGAUUUUAGAGUUGAGUGAAGUCCAAUUCUACAAAACAAAGCACUCUCUUUGCACACUGCACACAACAUGAAAUGAGAUUAUCAAAAUAUUUUUCAAUUGCAAUUGCAGGCCAUACGGGAUCAUGGGCAGAAGCCUACCCGGAGAUAGUGGCGUGUGCAAACAUGUUCUGGUGGCCAGCUGGAAGUCAAGGGGAUGACAGGCUUGCAUCUGAACCAGGAACUGGCCAUCUAAACCCCUUGAACCCCAAAACCUACCAAGUUCUCAAGAACGUAAUUCGUGAUGUAGCCAUGCUAUUCCCUGAACCAUUCUACCAUGGAGGAGCUGAUGAGAUAAUUCCUGGAUGUUGGAAAGCUGAUCCAACCAUUCAAACUUUCCUUUUUGACGGUGGAACUCUUAGCCAGCUCCUGGAAACCUUUGUGAACUCCACUUUGCCUUACAUUCUAUCCCUUAAUCGUACUGUAGUCUAUUGGGAGGAUGUUUUAUUAGAUGAAAAUAUCAAAAUAGACCCCUCAUUUCUUCCAAGGGAACAUACCAUUUUACAAACAUGGAACAAUGGCUCAAACAACACCAAAAAGAUCGUUGAAGCGGGAUAUCGGGCAAUUGUAUCAUCUUCAGAAUUCUAUUAUCUGGAUUGUGGCCAUGGGAAUUUUCUUGGCAAUGAUAGCCAAUAUGAUCAGCAAACAACGGCUAACUCUGGAAAUGGAGGGUCUUGGUGUGGACCAUUUAAAACGUGGCAAACUAUUUAUAACUAUGACAUAACUUAUGGUUUGAGUGAAGACGACGCCAAAUUAGUGCUAGGUGGAGAGGUGGCAUUGUGGUCAGAACAAGCUGAUCCUACAGUUGUGGAUGCGAGGAUUUGGCCAAGAACUUCAGCAAUGGCAGAGACAUUAUGGUCAGGAAACCGGGAUGAGACAGGGAAAAAGAGGUAUGCUGAGGCAACUGAUAGGUUGAAUGAAUGGAGGUAUAGAAUGGUAAGUAGAGGGAUCAAGGCUGAGCCAAUUCAGCCACUGUGGUGUGUUAAGAAUCCGGGAAUGUGCAACACGGUCAAUCCCUUUUGAUUUCAUAGAUGUUUAAUUGUUUUAACACAGACUUCAGAGACCAGUGAAAAAAGAAAUUGAUUCUGUAAUUCUCUUUCAUUUUCAACUUGUAUUUGAUGUUUCAAUUGAUUAGCAAAAGAAUUGUCCUAUAAAUUGCAUAUGUGCUAAAUUUCUUGUUAGUUCUAGCAAUAAGUAGUAAAAGGAUAAAAACAAACAUCUGUUUUUUAGGAAGAAAUCAUGCAAGAGAGUGAAACCCAAAGGCAGGAACUUUUGAGAGAAAUUAUGCAAGUGGAAGAUAGAUGAGGGCAUGACUUACUUGAAAAAAAAGCAAUCAAAGGGAUAAAUACCCAUGAAAUUUGAAAGGAUAAUAAAAUUGAGACCCACACCAAUGAAAUGACAAGUUACAGGGGAAAUAAUAAAAAAAAAAAACCAAAACAUUAAUUAAAUACUGUUGAAAGAGACUAAAAUCCGCUAAUAGUAUAUUAUAUAAAAGAGAUUAAAAAAAAUUAAGAGAAAUUCUUUCAUUAACAAUUAGUAGUGUUUGAUAUUAAGUGAUCACUUCAAAAAUUAUGAUAAUUUAUAUACAAUGAUUAGAUUAUCAUGUUUGAUAAAUACUUAAUGAUCCUAUGUGAUUGUGAUUUUGAAGGAUAAUCUAAUUCUCAUUUGAAAUGAUGAAAAGCUUUUAUCAUCCUAAUAUAUAAAAUUAGUAAUAAUCAAUAUUACUUAUUUAAUAUGUGAAUUAAAAUUUUGAUUUUUCUUAAAAUUAUAAUUAUUUUAUAUUAUAAAUUUUUAUAUUUUAAACUAAUAUUCAUUAUAACAAAUUAAAAAAUAGUUUGAGUAUUUUUUACUUUUUUAUUGUUUUAUAUAUAAUAAAAUAUCUUUUUUUAUUAUAAUUUUAAUAGAUUAAUUUUAUUUUUUUAAUUCAAUUUUUUAACAUAAUUUAUAUUAUAAAAAUUAGUUUAUUUAAUAAAUAAAUAUAUUUAAUAAUUUAAUUAUAGUAUAAAAUAAAUAAAAUAUUGCCAUUUUUUAUGAAUUAUUAUCUUUAAAUAAUAUUUAAAUCAUUAAUUUGUAAUUAUUACAAUAAAAUUGUUAUUUUUGUAUUUUUAAAUAAAUAAUAUUUUAUUUUUAAUAAUUCAAAUAUAAUGAUUUUUUAUUCGUAUGAAUUAAUUAUUGUUAACAAAAAAAUGAUUUUAAAUCACGAAUAAUAAAACUCAUAGUUAUUAAUUUCAUUUUGAUACAGAUCAGUAUGCGAUAACUAUAUCAAAAUACAAUACACCAAGAGAUGAUUUUUUGUACUGAAUUUGUUACAAGAUAAAACUAAUUGUUUUUGUUAGUUUCAAUAAGUUUUAAUGAAUUUUGGUGGAAUAGCUUAUUUUGAUUAGUUAGUAACUGUAAAAUAUAUUUUAUAAUUUUUAACUUAACCUUUAUAGAUUAAUUAUUUUAACCUAAUAAAAACAAAAUUAAUUGACAAAAUAAUCUUUAAAGGUUUAGUUUCUUUAUUUUUUAUUUUAAUUUUUUUUAUACUUUAUCUUUUCAAAUCAAAGUUUAUAAUUUUAUAAUUUAUUUUUUCAAAUUAAAAUUUAUUAAUAUUUCAAUUUUUUUAAGAAAGUAAUUAUGCUCAUUUUAUAAAGUUUAACAAUCAUAAAGCAUUGGUUAACUUUUUUAUUCUCUUUGUUUUUAUCUUAAUAUUUACAUAAAAAAUAUUUAUUUAAAUAACAUAUGAUCGGAUUAAGUGUUUGAAAAUAUUAUGAAAAAUUUAUAAUAUUGUUUCUGAUACUUUUAAACUUAUUUAUUUGAUUUUUGAAAAUAUUGCAUAUUUAGUUUGUAAAUUAUUAAUAGUAUUAUAAUGUACAAGUUUAUGUAUGUUUAUAAAUAUAUUUGUACUAAAACAAAAAAUCCAAAAUAAUAUAUCGAAACAAUUGGUACCGAUAUAUAUUAUUUAAAAAAAAUUAAAAUAUUAUCCAAUAUGAUAUUAAUAACUUUAACAAAAUCACCUUAAUAAUAAAAUCAUUUAGAUGAUUAUAUUUUCAUGAUAAUAUUAAAAAUAACAUCUAAUGAUACCCUUAUUAUAAUUUUUUAAACUUCUUAGGACAAAUUAAUAAGAUAAUACAUAUGUAUUGAAAAUAAAAAAUAUAAUUAGAAAUAAAAAUAUAUUAAUCUUUUAAUUUCGUGGGUGAAAUUAAAAAAUUACACAAAUAAUACAGAAAAACGAACUCAAAAAUUAAAUGAAAGUAAAACAUUUGACACAGGAUUCUGUGGGCUAUAUAAGCCUUUAGAUUUUUUUUUCCAGAAUUCACGGUGGGCUAAAACCCAAUAUGAUCCAAAAUUCAGGUUCUUGGAUCCAUAGUUUAAGUAGCCUAAGAACCCAAACUUAGUCCACGAAAAUCUGUUAACUUUUUCAUUUUCCCAAACUACUUUUCAAACAAUAUUUUUUUAAUUUCUUUCACCAGCAAGUCAGCCACCUGAUUUCGUGAUUCGAUCAACAAACCCGAACCUUUCGAAAUUACAAAACCAAAUCCUGAGAAUCUCAAUUUCCCAUCUCUGAUUCUUUUUUUUUCUAACUUGUUUUCUUCCCUAUUUUCUUUAUGAAAUUAAACUACUAAAAGAUGCAGUCUCUUGAAAGCAUCACAGAUUCCUCAUUUCCUCAAAACCCUAACAAUUCUUCUUCUUCUUCUGUUAAUGGGUUGUAUGGAUGGCUCUUUGAAUGUCAUGGAAUUUGGCAUAACUUAGCUCUUGUUAUUCCUUCUCUUCUAUUUGUUCUUUUCUUAGGUUUUCAAGCCAAAAGAAGCUUCCAAAAGCUCUCUCAUGGCAGGUCUUAUAUCAUGAUUUCUUAUUACGGUUGCCUUUGGCUUGUUAGCUUGCUCAAUCUUGCUUGGUGUUCUCUUCAGGUUUGAGGGUUUUCUUUUUUCUCUAAGUCGAUUUUAAACAUUUGGGUUGUUCUUGAAUUAGCUUGUUGAUUUCUUAAAGGAUGAAAUUAAAUUGCUUUUUGUUGUUUCUAGGAAAUGAAUGCACUUUUUAUUUUUAAUUCUUCACAAGUUUGUUUAGUUUAUAUCCAAAAUACUCUUUUUUUUUCUUUGCAUCUAUGGCAUACGCAACAACUAAAUGGUACCUAAAUUAGUGGAAUGUAAUUUGGGUGUCUUGGGUUCAUUAGAAAUGGCUUGAAAGUUACUAUACUUGAUGAUUUUUCGCGUUAUGGUAAAUUACAAAUUGGAUUAUUGGACAGUUUUCAAGUUUUAGUUUUUAGGUUAGGCUUCUUUGAUGUCGUAUGUAAGAACAAUGCUCAGAAGCCAAUAAUGAUAAUAUAUAGAUCAGUGAAAUGAAAAUAUGUAUAGCAAAAGCCUUCUUUGUCGAGCUUAGAUGUUCAAUAGAUGCGUCUAGGCACUAAGCUUUUGGUAUGGCAUGAGUUUGCGACUAACUCAUUCAUUAUCAUGAAUGGUGUAUAAUAUCAUGAUUGUUCCUUUUUCAUAGUGUAUGUUUCCGUUUCGUAAGCAUGAGUAAAUUUUUUUUUUCUUUUACUUUUUUUUUUCCAUAUGAAUUGUAUAUUGGUGAUCCUUAACAGAUACUGUUUUCUUCUUAAUUUGGCUUCUUUGAAAAUGAGUUGUGUUAAGCAGCUUGGCUGCUUAUCGUUUGAUAGUUUGAAGAGUUAGGGUACUAAACUAUAUGCUUUGAGAGAACUCAUAUCCGCUAGGAUUUAUGAAACAUGACCUGCAUUGACCCUUGAAGAUUCUUAUUCUAGUUGCGAGUAAGUUAACUUUUUCCACUUCAUAGCUGGAUGGCUAAGUUUACACUAUUUACUGAUUGAUGCAGGCCUGGGAAUGCAGUCCUGGAAAGGAAAUGACAUGGAAUAUCUUAUCGUUGUUUACAACUUCUGGGAUGCUGUUCCUGGAAGUUAGCUUGGUGGCAUUUUUACUUCAAGGAAAUUAUGCUAGUGGGUUGGAGGCUUUGACUCGAACAUUUGUUGUUUCGGGGCUUAUUGUUGGUUUGGACUUACUUCUGAAGGUACUUCUUUUAUUCUUGAAUAUUUUAACCUUCUUUGAAGUUCCAUAUCUGUUGCUGGUGAAUCAGACGGUGGUGGAAAAACAAAACAGUUUCUUCCUUACUGUACUUUACUAAAUAGCAGAGUCACCAUUCCUGUGGCCUAUAUUUAGAUUGUUGACCUACUUUAACUUCUUAAGCAAUCUAGAAUGCUAAGUAUGAUUGUUUAUACGUAUUUAAGUUGUUUUAUUUUCUAAUAUGGAAAGACACACAAUGUCAUUCCUUUUUGUGUUUUUCCCCUUUUGAAUUCUUUAUAAUAUUUUUGCAUCAAUGCUUAAUAUGUUGUGACAUUAAUAUUUCAAUGUUCUUUUCCCUCGUUUAGGCUAUUUACCUAUUUGGAUUUGGUGUCCCUAUGUUCACUGACAACACCGAACAUACACAUCAAGUGAAAUGGGGCUUGUGGGUUGUUCACAGGCUAGUGCUGACUGCUAUUUAUGGCUUCAUACUGUUUAUGUACCACUCUAAGUGGAGAGAAAGGUUACCUGGUAUGUUCAUCUAAGUCACAUACAUUUGUGCAGGUUAUUUAACAGUAGUCGCUUAGUUGUGUCACUUGGAAUCUUCUCUCUUGUUCUGCAGCAAGACCUGCAUUCUACAAAUAUGUUGCAAUCAUGUUCAUCUUGAAUGCACUAGCACUGAUUGCUUGUGGACUAACUGGAAAUGGUGCUAGUUUUGGGUUUUGGUAAAUACAAGCUUGAUGCCCUUUUUAAAUUGAAGAAUUCUGUUUGUUAUUUAUAUUAGUAUAUUAUGUUCUUUUCCAAGGGUUUUUUUUAAAAGAAUAAGAUUGACAGGUUGUACAGUGCCACAAUUGUUUGCUACCACGCCUUGUACCUUCCUCUUCUGUAUAUAACUUUUCUGGCAGAUUUUUUCCAGGUAAACAUUUAUUUCGGAUUCAUUGCAAAAAUUUUAUCUUGUUAUUGAUUCUUUAGCACCUUAUAAUAUGUUAGUACGGUAAAAGUAUCUCCAAUGCCUGCAGGAGGAAGACUUGCACUUAGAGAAUGUGUACUAUUCAGAGAUGAAAGAUGCUGGUUUCUUUGAUGCUGACUGGGAGUGAGCACUGUAUCAACUUUGAAUUACUAGAUUCCCUUUUCGUUAGGAUCUGUAAAUGAAAUUAAAUGCAAUUCAGAUUGUAAAAUGUUUGAUGAAAGGGAUGGUUGAUCGAUGCAUGCAUGUAGUAUUUAUAGAUACUGCUCUGGUAAUGGCGACGGUAAUCCUGUAGCUCGUAUAUUUGUAAUAAUCUCCUGUUUUAUAAAUUUAAGUUGAUUGCAAAUAAAACUUGUUCAAUCUUCUUGUAGCAAAAAAACUAGAAGCAUUGUGUACGUUCUUGUAGAAUUUCUCUUUUAGUUUUUGUGUUAUUGUAAUAAAAUUCCAAUUAACAGCUUCAUGUUGAUGGUGUUUAUGCAUACUAAUAGAUUGGUUAUCCUUCACGGUUUCCCUUUGCAUUAUUACCGCAGGUUUGUUGAUAUUUACUCUUUGCCUCAGCUUAAUGGGGCUGAGGCAUCAAAUAUCCGAAACAUUAGCCGUAUCUUUAUUUCUCCAGGCUUCAUUGUGUCGGUCUCUUUAAGAGUGUAAAUGAUAUAUUAGUAUUUAUAAAUUAUUCGAAUUUAAUAUAAAUAAAAUUUUAAUUUGGUUCAAUUAUUAUCGAGUUUGAGUUCGAGUUCGAGUAGCUCGAUUUAUCGAUCGAGUUGAUCUUAAGUAUUUUUAUAUUCGACUCGAGUAGUUCACAAGUUUAAUUGAAUUUUUAUAUUUUAAUAUAUUUUAAUUAUUUUAAUUGAUAAAAUAUUUUAAACUCAAGUAUAAAUAAUUAAGUUUUUAUCGAAUAUAAGAAUUGAGUUUAUUUUUAUAUAUUAAUUAAGAUUAAUCAAAUGAAUUUUAAUAGUUAAAUUUUUAUUUCGAAUCAAACUUAAAUUAAAAAAAAAAAAAUUCGAUCGAGUUUAAAACUUUAAAUUUGAAAUUAAAAUUAAUUUUAAAUUUAAUGUUAUAUUUAUUCAAACUUUAUUGAUUAUACUCUUAAUUUUAUCUAUGUUAGUGAAGCUACGGGACAUCUUUUUCUAAGGCCUCAGUUGGAUUUAACUGAAGCUUCAGUGUGUUGCGUUUUCUACACUUUUUUCCUUCAAUCUCACCGUGAUUCAUAUUUGGAUAACAUCAAUGAUGGUGAGUUUACUAGCGUGAAUCGCACUAAAACAUCAGUUGAAGACAGGACUUUUGGGGUUCAAUGCCAAUAAAUCUUUUUUAUUCACAUUAUUUUUUUUAUAUUCUUAUCAUGCCCUUAAAUGAGUUUUUAUUUAAAAAAACCUAAAAUAUGAUUUUUUUUAACUUAUUUCUCUCUCUUUCUGUUUCUGUCACCAUCUUAAAUUUUUAACCCUAAAUUGCCUCCUCCUUCGUAUUAUCGCCCCUUGCUACUGUCACUUGUUCCAUUUCCCCUUGCUAUUGUCACUUGUUCCAUGUUAAGGACAUUAGAUAAAAAUAUUAUUUGAUAUUAAAAAAUUUAAAAUUUUGUAAUUAUUUAUUAAUUUAAAAAUAUUAAAAAUAUAUAAAUUUAUUAUACAUAAAUUUUAAUUUAAUGUUAAUGUAAUGUUUUUAAUGAUAAUUUUUUAUUUUUACUAUAUUUUAUUUCACCAUUACUAUUAAUUUUACAUUUAAAGAAGGUGAUAAGCUAAUGAGAUACAAAACUCGAUUGGUGGUAAAAGGUUUUUGUCAAAAAUUUGACAUUGAUUUUAAUGAGAUCUUCUCUCCAGUUGUAAAAGAUGAGUUCUAUUCAAGUAGUACUAGGAUUAGUAGCUAGUUUGAAUCUUGAGCUUAAACAACUUGAUGUCAAGACUGCAUUCUUGCAUAGUGACUUGCAAGAGAAUAUUUAUAUGGAUUAGUAAAUUUUGAUAAAAAAAAGUACUUAGUUUUGUAAAAUGAGAAAAAAAAAUGUAUACUUGAAUAAGCCCUGAUAGUAUAAAAAUUUGAUUUUUAUGUAGAAAGCUAUAAAAAAAAGUAACGAAUUUUAUGAGAAUGUCAAAAAAAGAUGGUAAUUCAUAUUAUCUUAAUAUGUGAUGAUAUGUUGAUUGCGGACAAAUUAAUGUUAUAUGGUUCAUAAGUGGAAAACAAUUAUCUAAGUCUUUAACAUGAAAGAUUUAAGUAACAAGGCAAAUUCUUGGAUGAAUAUUAUCAGAUAAAGAGCUAAAAAUUUGUUGCCAAAAAAAAUGUCAAAUGAUUUUGUAUAAUUCAAAACUAUAACAUGCUAAUAUUAGUAGUCCAUUUUCAAAAAUUUAAUGUUGAGUAAAAAAUCUUAUCUGAUGACUAAAGAAAAGUAAUUAGCUAUGUCUAGUAUUUCUUAUUCUUCUGUAGUCGAUUUCUUGAUGUAUCUUAUAGUUUGCACAUGACCUAACAUUGCUUAUGCAGUUGGUGUAAUGAGUAGAUUUCUUUCUAAUUUAGGGAAGGUUCACUGAGAAGUAGUGAAAUGAAUUUUUAGAUAUUUAAAGGGCACCUCAAAAAUAUGUUUGAGUUACGAAAUUUCACAACCAAUUCUAGAAGGGUUUACUAAUGCUAACUUAACAGAUGAUCUUGAUGGUAGAAAAUUUACUUUAGGGUAUUUGUUCACUUUUACAGAAAAAGCUAUGUCUUGAUAUUCUAAGUUGUAAAAGUGUGUUACCUUAUCAACUACAAAGGCUAAGUAUAUUACAAUAACCGAAGCAAGUAAAGAAAUGCUUUGGAUGAAACUUUUUUUUCUUGGAUUGAGGUUAAAUAAAAAAAAGUAUGUGAUAUUUUGUGAUAGUCAGAAUGCUUCAGAUUUAAGUAAGAAUGCUAUGUACCAUGCUAGAUCGAAGUGCAUUGAUUGUUAGAUGUCAUUGGUUACUUUUGAUAAUUGAAGAACAACAGAUGCUAUUGAGAAAAGUCAUAUUUAUGAGAAUGUGGUAGAUAUGUUGACUAAGAUACUUCCUAGAAAAAAGCUUGAGCUCUGCAGUAACUUGGCCAGAAUAGGUUUCUUGGGUAAGGUAAGUUCCAAAUGAAAUUGCCAUGGUAAUGAAUCUCCUUAUAUUGGGGUUAAAUAAAGAUAUUGUUAGGAAUAUGUGGGAUUCAACCCCAUGAUAUUGGUCUUAACCAUUCAAAGUUUUAGGCUACCCUAAGAGAGCCCUAGGUAAUAAAAGAAAAAAAAAGUUGUAUUUUUUGGUAAGAAACAGAGGGUUAAGUGUCAAAUACAAAAAUGAAAAGCCAAAAAAAUAAAGAGAAAAGAGAGAAAAGAGAGUUAGUUAAACAUAAUCAAUCUAUGGUUUGAUUGAGUUAAAACUUUGUCAACAUGUUUGCGAUUCAGAGUUUCACAUUCUAAACAGUAAAAAUCAGGUUUGAAGCUUUUUAGGAACAAAUUUAAGGAAUAUUUGUUGAGUCACCGAUUUGAUGAGAUUUCUUCAAUUAUCUUUCUAGUUAUUGACUAGCUCUAAUUUUAACUAGAAGAGAACUUUGUAUAUUCAUUAUUUAAUAGUAAAGAUUUUUCUAAUGGUUCGUGAAUUUUUUCCUUUAUACUGAAGGGUUUUUCACAUAAAUUUUAAUGUGCUUUAUUUUUCUUAUGUUGUUGAAUGUUAAUUAUUGUUUUAUAAUAUAUUACUUCUGCGUUGUUGUAUUUGUUGCUUUAGGUCUAACAAAUAAGACGUUUCGCCUUAGUUUGGGAAAGCUUAGAGACGUCUUAUAUGAUGCUAAAGAUGUGCUUGAUAAAUUCAGGUGUGAAGCGCUGCAAAAAGAGUUGAUCAAUCGUGGAAGCACCACCACCAAAUUGGUACAAUUCCCUGCCCUCUCUAUUCCAUUUGCAUUCCCUUUAAGGAGAAGUCAUAAAAUCAAAAGAAUCAAUGAAAAGCUAGAUACGAUUGCUAGUGAUUUCAAAAAAUUUAAUCUUGGACUUGAAGAGAAAGUUCAGAACCGACAUGUUAGUCUUAGAGAUGCCCACUCUUUCGUUAUACCCUCUAAUGUGAUGGGUCGAAAUCAAGCCAAAGAAAACAUCAUAGAUGUUUUAGUCAAGCCAACCAUUUUUUAAAAAAUACCCGUCAUCCCUAUAGUUGGAAUCGGAGGUUUAAGGAAAACCACACUUGCUCAACUUGUGUACAACGAUGAAACGAUCACUAAGGUCUUUCCCUUAAAAAUAUGGGUGUACGUGUCAAAUGAGUUUGAUCUUGCUAGGUUGCUCUGUGAUAUUAUUUACUCCAUUACGGAGGAAAGAUGUAAUGGCUUACCAGUUAAUGCAUUGCAAACUCAUUUGCGAAUGCUUUUAAAUGGUAAAACUUUUUUGCUUGUUUUAGAUGAUGUAUGGAACAAAGAUCAUGUAAAAUGGAUGGAACUGAGAGAUUUACUAAUGACAAUGGGUAACUUUCAACAAAGUAAAAUUAUUAUGACUACACGAAGUUCAAAAGUUGCUUCGACAGUGGGUACUAUUGCUCCGUACAACUUGAAUGGUCUUAGCCACAAAGAUUGUCUGUCUUUGUAAAACGGGCAUUUCAGGAAGGGGAUGAGAAAGUUUAUCGAAACCUUAUGAGAAUUGGUGACGAAAUUGUGAAAAAAUUCAAAGGGGUUCCAUUGGCGGUGAGAACUUUAGGGAGCUUACUCUACAUGAAAACUGAGCUUCAUGAAUGGGAAUUUAUAAAAGAUAAUGACAUAUGGAAACUUAAUCAAAAUGAAAAUGACAUCCUACCUAUGCUGAAAUUGAGUUAUAGUCAUUUGCCAUCUCAUUUGCAAAGGUGUCUAACUUAUUUGUCAUUGUUUCCAAAGGACACUAUUUAUGAUACUGAUUACAUCGUCCAAUUCUGGAUGGCCAUUGGACUUAUUGAAGGCCCUAAGCAAAAUGAAGAGUGAGAAGAUGUUGGGUUACGAUAUUUCAAAGAAUUAUGGUUGAGGUUACACAUUUAAAAUCCAUGGCCUAAUGCAUGAUCUCUUGUCAAAUGAGUCUCAAGAUGACUGCUUAACAAUUUAUCCUCAUACAGUAAAUGCUACUGAAAAUACUCGACAUCUGUUAUUUUUGGAUGAUAAUCCAUUAGGAGCUCCACAAUCAUUUUCGAAGAAUUUAAAAGUUGUGCGGACAUUAGUAAUCCUACCUUCUUCAGGAAGAAAUAGGAUAAUUGAGGAACAUUUUGUAAAUGCUUCUAUCUUGAAUUUCGAGUUCCUUCGGCUACUUGAUCUCUCCUCUUCAUCUUUGGAUGUAUUGCCCAAUUCCGUUGGCACCUGGAAGCAUUUAAGAUAUCUUGACUUAUCCAGCUGUCGAAGAAUGAGGAAACUUCCUACUUCUAUCCGUAAACUUCAGAGCUUGCUGACUUUACGGUUAGCUGGCGUUCCACUGAUUGAAGUACCUGAAUGUUUGCAAAGCUUGAUUAAGUCUCAGAUUUCUAGAGAUAGCCACAGAUUCUGUGUUUUUAAGGGAUAUUCAACCAGGAUGUUAGAGUUCGCUUCAGUUGUUGCUCUUGUUCGACUGUGAUAUGAUAGAAUCUAUAUUUGAUGGGACGCAACACCUCACAUCACUUGGAAGAUUGGAUAUCCAAAGCUGCUCUAGAUUGAUUUCACUGCCAAGAAGUCUGAAAUUUCUAACCAAAUUAGAGGAAAUCAAUAUCAAUGGCUGUCAAAAAAUCAAUUUGUCAAUGGAACAAGGAGAAGAAGACCAAGACCUUCAAAACUUUAACAAUAUUGGAAGCAGAAGCGCUGAAGGAUUUGCCACGGUUGCUUCUUCAAGGAUCAGCUAGCCUUUUUAAAUCCAUGCUAAUAAGGAGAUGUCCCAACUUCAAGGUACCAUCAGAAUGGAUGCAAAAGCUCACAUCACUUAACAGGUUGGAGCUUGAAAGUUGUCCAGCAUUAUCCUCUGUUCCCGAAGGACUGAAUCGCCUCACUGCACUUAGACAAGUAAAGAUUCAAAUAUGUCCUGCGCUACGCCAAAAUUGACAACCUGGGGUUGGUGCUGAUUGGUCCAAGAUUGCACACGUUCAAGAGGUUCAUAUUGAAGAUUAGUAGAUCGUCAAGCCGCGCUCAAAGUGUUUACCAAUCUCUCAUUCUUUUUUCUUCCUUUAUGAGAUUUCUUUUUUCAUAUUAAAUUUUCCAGAAUACAGAAUUAUAAGAAAAUUGCUCUAAAUGAUAUGUGCUAGUCAAUUCAUCCAUCUUCCUGAAAUAUCUAACACUUGCAUUGAUUUUGAAAUGAUCAUAGGUAAAUUGGUCCGGAUACUUUGGUAAAAAAUAAAAGUGCAAGCAGGUGAGACGAUUUCAUCCAAUCUAUUUAGCUUGUUUGUUAUCAGCAACAUUUCAUGAGAAUCCUUCAAUUUUUGCUACACUUUUUCAUAUACUAUUACUUUUAUAGGAUCUGUCUGAUUGAGAUUUUUUGCUAAUUAUCUUUUUUUUUUAUGCAUAAAGGCAAAUAAAAAUAUAAUCAUCCGUUUUAAAAGGUUACAAUUAACUAUAGCUAGGUGAUAGAAAUAGUCAUAGCUUGUGGGCUUUCUAUAAGAUGAAUGUAAUUACAAUAUUGUCUUGUGUUUCUCUUUGUAGUUACUGUCAAAUUGAGAUACUUAGGUGCAUGUGUCACGGAUCUAAGGAAGAGUCUUGAAUCUCACAUCGAACAUAAUAGGAGGGUCACUGGGGUAUAAAAGGGUUCACACCAUUUUUGCCUUGUGAGGUGCCUUUUGUAAGACAAAACCGUGAGGCCAGGGGGCUAGAGCGAACAAUACCUCACAAAAAUAUGAACCGUGAUGGUCAGGCUGAUUCGGGACGCCGGAAGGGUGAAUGCUCGGGUUCCGAAACCGUGCGGGUUCGGAGCUUAAGUCUCGACCCGUGACAAGUGGUAUCAAAGCCAGCCCUAAAUCGUUCGAUCCACGCCAAGCACCUCGAGGGAGGUAGACAGGGUGGCCAGCCUCCGUGACAAGGGCAUCACGAGAUUGGGUGCGGGAGAAUGUUAAUAAGGAAGAGUCAUGAAUCACAUAUCGAACAUAAUAGGAGGGUCACUGAGGUAUAAAAGGGUUCACACCAUCUCCGCCUUAUGAGACGUCUUUUGUAGGACAAAACCGUGAGGUCAAGAGGGUCAGAGCCAUUUGGCUUCAAAUCAAACCACUGCGGGUAGCUCUUAUGGUGUGGGAAAAUUCAGCCAAACCCUGCAAGGCGCCGUUUGUUCAAAGCUUUUACUUUCUUUGACGAUCAUGUGUCUUGAACCAGACCUGUUUAUCUGUUUGCCUAAUACUUGCGCUUUAGCUAUUUGUUUGUGUUCUAUCUGUUUGUGAUUGGAUCCUUUGGAAUGAAACCAUCAUCUCAUAACUGUUGGGUGACUCCUUAGGGACAAAAGAACUCUUCUUGCUUGAAAAGGGAACAUCAAGCAUUCAACAUGAAGUGCCCAUUUCUUAUUCAACCCAAUAAGAUUUCGACCUCCGUCGUGUAGUGUAAGAGUUUAGACUAUCUUAUCCCAAUGAAAUUCACCCCAAGUCAUUCAAGACCUUGACCUGAUAUUUGAGUUUUUGGUUUAACAGUCCUGUCGUGUCAGCUGGAUGUUGAGCCUUUUGUUUGGGCGUUACCUUUUUCAGGGCCUAAGCCCCCUGAAACUAAAAGCUACAUUGCCCAUUUCCCUAUUGUAGACACCCAAUUGGGUCCGGGCCCAGAUCAAUUGGGCCUGGCCCAAAUGGGUAAGGCCCAUUUCAAUCCUGUAUAUUUUUUUCUUUUGUAUUUUAUGUAUUCUAUUAUUAUUAUUAUUAUGUAUAUCUUUAUUCAUUUAUUUAUUUUUAUUCAGAUUAGAUUUAUAUGUAUAUUAUUUAUAUAGUUAUAUAUUUAUUAUUAUUAUUAUUAUUAUUAUUUUUGUAAGAUAUUUUUGGAUUUAUCUUAUUUUAUUAUUAUUUUUUUUAAAUUAUCUGUUCUGAUUUUUUCCUGAUUAUCAGAUAUUUUUUUACUAUAAUAUCUUUUUAUUUAUCUGUUCUAAUUAUCUAUUAUUUUUUAUAUUUAUUUGAUUUUUUUUUUUUUUGGAAGGUUGAGAUUGAAGCUGAAGAAUCCUACUGGGAGUGGGGAUUCAAUCUAAAGAGUCCAAUUGGAUUCAAAGACUGAAUCCCCGUCCAAGGAGGAGUUGGGAUUGAUCAGAAACUCCUGAUCAACCCCUAUAUAAAGGACCCUUUGGAACAGUUCAAGAACACACAGAAAACAGUAAGCAAAGCUACUGAUUUGAGAGAAAAGGAGGCGUAUAGGAAGCUAGGAAAAGUUUAGGAGUGGUCUAGGAGUGAGAAAAAAUUUCUAGAAAUUUUUGGCGAAAAAAUUUUCUGGAAAUUUCUGGGAAAUUUCCAGAUUCCGGCAAAAAUUCUGGCGAAGUUUGAAUUUUCCGGCGAUAGUUCCGGCCAAACUUGAAGUUUUCGGCAACCAGCCCAGUUUCCGGCGAAGAAUCCCAGAAACCGGCGAUCUUUCGGCAACUUCCGGCGAACUUCCGGCGAAAUUUUCCAGAUUCCGGCGAGAAUUUCCAGAAUCCGGCGAAAUCCCACCGGUGUUCUUCAGUCUUUAGAGAGAAGGCAGAGGAAAGAAGGAAGAAGAGAGAGAGAGAGGAGGGGCGGUCUGCCGAAAAACAGAGGGUAGUGCCUUUUAUACCCUCCCAAAACGACGUCGUUUUGGCUUUAAGUUAAUCAGAGGAUCCGCGCGUUUUGCCGAAAACCCGACCAGACCCGGGCGUCGACCCGCUUUCUGACCCGCGCGUUUCAGCCCCUCCGAGCCGAGCCGAGCCGAGCCGAGCCGCACCAAGCCGAGCCGCGAUCCGAGCCGCUCCAGGUUUUUUUUUUUUUUUUUUUUUUGAAUUUUUUUGAAUUUUUUUUAUUUGACUUUGAUUUUGAUCUUGAUUUUUUUUUCUUUUUUCUUUAAUUAAUCCGACGACGGAGCCUCUACAAGUAAAAACAGUAGUUUUUCUUGCAUACUCCUGAGGUGAGGGAAUUUUCUCAAUUUUCUGCUAAAAGUAUUAGAGUCAAUUGAGAAUAAUUUCCGAUAAUUAAUUACUUGGCUGAUUUUGAUUUUUUUUUUCUUUAAUUAAUCCGACGACGGAGCCUCUGCAAGUGAAACAGUAGUUUUUCUUGCAUACUCCUGAGGUGAGGGAAUUUUCUCAAUUUUCUGCUAAAAGUAUUAGAGUCAAUUGAGAAUAAUUUUCGAUAAUUAAUUAAUUGGUUGAUCUUGAUUUUUCUUUAAAUAAUCCGACGACGGAGCCUCUGCAAGUGAAACAGUAGUUUUUCUUGCAUACUCUUGAGGUGAGGGAAUUUUCUCAAUUUUUUGCUAAAAGUAUUAGAGUCAAUUGAGAAUAAUUUUCAACAACUAACUACUUGGUAAAAUUUUAAGGCUUUUGGAUAACACAAAUUUAAGCUGGUACCAUCUUUUGAUGGGCGUUGUGAGGGUGCUACAACCUUCCUCACACGUAACCGAACUCCCGAACCCUGUUCUGGUUAGUAGACCUGAACCUAUUCUUUUAGGGACUCUUAAACUGAGGCGUUCCCUAAAAGGACAGAUUCCUUAGGUGGCCAAUCGCACCUAGAUAAAAAAGAUUGGUGGCGACUCCCAAAAGUCAAUGUCUAGCGAUAGAUCCCCGGAUCUAGACGUUACGACAGCUUGGCGACUCCACUGGGGACCUUGAGAGUCAGGCCAGCAAAUAAUUUGUGUUAUCCAAAAGCCUAAUAAAAUUGAACCAUUUUUGUAUAUAUGUGUUAUUCAUUCAUGUAUUUACCUUGUUAAUUAUGUCAUUCAUGUGCAUGUGCAUAACAUGAGCUCUACACCCGAGCUCUGUCCCUCUAGGAGGGAGUAAAGUACCUAUUGCUUUCGUGAGGUCUAAUGCCUCCGCAGUGGCUAGCGAAAUACUCCCACUCAAAUUGAACCUUUUCCGCUUGUAGCCUGUAAUGGGUGAGGAUUAGGGUGCCUUACUAGUCUGUGAUGGACAAGGAUGUAAGGAACAAUUUGAGGACCUUUAGACUCUGACUUUAAAACCACAUGUAGUGAACCUUAAGAGUGCCUAACCCUAGGAUAGAGUCCUUUCUACCCAAUGAUAGAUAUACCCUGAAAUUAGGACACAAAAAAGGUGUUUAUCUAAUCAUUUUGAUUGCUUAACUUUGUGUAUUAUUUUUUGUAAUGUUAUGCAUCAGCAUUACUUUCAUUUCAUUCAUGAAACUAACUAUGUUGUUUGUCUGAUUGUAUGCAUCUGUAUUCUUUUCAUGAUCAUGUUUCAACACAAUCAUUUGCAUUCAUUUCAUGCUAGAUUUCAUUCAAAAAAUGUACAUUUCAUUUGUGUAUCAAAGCAUCAUACAUAAGGCACAGCAUAACAUUUCUAAUCAUGAGUAUGGUACUCAAGGUCCGAGGAUAGCUCCAUCUAGCGAAAACCUUGCUCAUCCAUACAACACAAGAUCCAGAGCAAGGCAAAUGGAGGAGGAAAGUUCUCAUAGAUUUGAAAAGCUAGAAAAAGCUCAGGAGAAGAUUGAAAGUGAACUAAGCAAGAUUCUGGAAGCUCUAAAUAACAUGAAUAAGGGGAAAGGAGUUGAAGGAAGUACAAGCCAGCAAGAAGUGGCUGACCCUUUGUACCCUCCAGGUUUUGGCCCAUCUCAGGUCCAGCCUGCUCAAGAGGUCCCGCCAUAUCCUGGAAUACCAUCAGCUUUCAACCCAGGGCAGUAUAAUAGCUAUAUAAAUCCUGUCUUCACUGAAAAAGUAGCAGAACCAAUUCCUGACCUAGAUGCCUUAAAGGAGAAGGAAAAAGAAAAGAUGAAAGUGGAAGCUGAGGAGAGUUCCAAGAUUAGCAUGCUAGAGCAGAGGCUACGGGCUGUGGAAGGAUUUAGCUUUUAUGGGUCAGUAGAUGCUGCUGGGCUCUGCCUAGUCCCUGAUGUGGUUAUUCCCUAUAAGUUCAAAGUACCAAAAUUUGAAAAAUAUGACGGUACCAAGUGCCCCAAAACCCACAUCACCAUGUAUUGCAGGAAGAUGGCAGCUCAUGCUCAUGAUGAAAAACUUCUGAUGCAUGUUUUCCAGGACAGUCUUACUGGCUCUGCCGCCAGAUGGUAUGUUCAGUUGGAUAGGACUCGUAUUCGCUCUUGGAGUGAUAUGGCACACGACUUCAUCAGUCAAUAUCGACACAUUAUCGAUUUGGCCCCUGAUCGUUUAUCUUUGCAAAAUUUGGAGAAAAAGUCAAAUGAGUCUUUUAAAGAAUACGUCCAGAGAUGGAGGGAUAUUGCUUCACAGGUACAACCUCCACUGACAGAGAAAGAGACCACAGUGCUGUUUGUUAGCACUUUAAAGCCUCCCUAUUAUGAAAAGAUGAUAGGAAAUGCAACAAAGAAUUUUGCUGACAUGGUGAUCUCUGGAGAAAUUAUUGAAAGUGCCAUAAAAAAUGGCAAGUUGAAAGGAGGAGAAACCAAGAAGACAUCAGAAAAGAAAGAAGCUGAAGCUCAAGCUGUGAGCUUUGAUAGACAACAAUUCAGGGGUUAUCAACCCUAUCCAUCCCAAGGCUACUCUCCAUACUAUCCCGCUGUGAAUAAUGCCUCAUCCUACCCAUACCAGUUAGCUUCACAACCAUCUCAUUCAUCCACUUACCGCCUUAACAUUCAAGCUCCUGUAAGAACUCAAGUUCGCCCUACUAACCCAGCAAGUGGCUCGCGAGAACAACGGACUGCUCGAGAAAAACCUGUAUUUGAUCCAAUCCCUAUGACUUAUACAGAGUUAUAUCGAGAGCUUUAUAAUAGCCACUUGAUUGCCCCCAGCCAUGUGGAACCUCUUAAACCACCCUACCCAAAGUGGUAUGAUCCUACAGCCCACUGCGACUAUCACUAUGGAAUUACUGGCCAUUCUACUGAAAAUUGCACUGCUUUAAAGUAUAAGGUGCAACGGUUGAUCAAUGAUGGAAUGGUAAGUUUUGAUCAAGGAAAAGCAACAACAUUCAAUGUUAACACCCUAAGUGAAAGUCAAGAACAGAAAGGAUCUGGAGAGUCACAAUGAAUUGAGGGGCAAGACGUCAAUGGGGAUUUCUUCACCUGAUCAUAUAGGGGGCUAAUUUUUAAUGGAGAUAAGGCGGGUUGAAAGUUUUUUUGUCACUUUAAGAUUUCUUUUCAAGUAAUGUUGGAUUUCUUUUUGCAAUAUGACUUUACUUGUUAUCAUUUUAAUAAAGGCAAGUCAAUGCAUUUCAUUACAUUUUUCUCUUUCAUUUGACCAUUAUUCCAUACCCUGCUACCCUUCAUAACUUCACAUUCCCAUUCUUAAAUUUCAGAUGAUGAAUAUUUAGACAAUGAUAACAAUAAUUCUGGGAUUUAAUUUUGAGAACUCAUCCACAUUAAUAUGAGAAGAUGAUUUGAACAGAAGUAAGCUAUUACUGGAGGAGAAACAGAUAUGUCUUGAAGAUGUGUAAUCUUUUAUACAGAUUCAUGAGCUUUGUUUAAUAGAUGAUGUUCAAGAAAGGUAUUCACAAUUGAGAUGAAAAAUGGCCACCUUUCUUUUACCAUUGGAAAAACCAUUUAUUGCUACCCCUUUGAGCCAAUCAUGAUUUUUUUUCUUGAAGAACCCCAACCAAGGAUCACCCUCUACACUGGAGGGUAAUUUUUGAAAAAAAAAAAAAAAAAAAAAGAGAAAAAAAAAAAAAAACACCACAAAAGGUCUCAAAAAUGAAAAAAAAAAGAGAAAAAACAAAUGCCACACAUGACUUGGGGCAAAGUAAUGAGAAUCCUUUGUGUGAUGAAAGAAAAAAGUAGUGAAAUGAUGUGGGGGCAAAAUGCCAGGCUGCAUCAAAUGAUCCUUUGGUUUUGAACCUUUUUAAUACAUGUUUUGAGCCUAUUAUAUCCAUUUCUUUUAUGACCCUUCCCCUUGGCCUACGUUACAACCUUGAAAAGUCCAUUUGGAUCAAGUGUGAAUACUCAACUUGAAUGAUCAUAUGUUGAGCGAAGGUAUGCUCAUGAGGAAGCAAUGAAAUCAUGGUCUAAAGUUGGACGUAUGAAAGAUAUCAACAAUGGAUGAAAAAAAAAUGAUGAAAAAAAAAAGAAAAAAAAAGGAAAAAAAAAGAAAAAAUGAAAAAAAAAAGAAGGAAAAAAAGAGAAAAUAAAAAAAAGAGAUUCAAAUUGAAAACCUGAAAGGGUGAUUUUAGUAAAAAAAAAAUCAAGUCAAAUGGCUCACAUGAAUGAAAGAUCAAAGACAUCUGAAGAUCCCUCAAAGACUGGGGCAGAGUUCGCCAAGCUCAAGAUGACUUCAACAGUAAAUGGAAUGAGUUUUUGAAAAAGAAUCCUAGAUUAAUGUUGAAAAUUGUCUGAAUAUUCAUCAUUUGGACAUACCAUUCACCUCAAUGACAUCCAAUUUAUUUCAUUUCCCAUUUAUUUUUUACCAAAAUAGAUCUCCAUUGAUUAUCUUUACCAUAAUUCACCUUCUGUUCUCUUAUUGUUUCACCCCUAGAAUGAAUUGAGAAAAUGCUUGAUUGCAUUGUAUUUGUCAGGAUUUGAAAUGAUAAUGAAUGAAUGAAUAUGUGCUUAAAAGAGUCUUGCAUUUAUUUGAAAAGAAAUCUAAGAUGAUGAAGAAAUGGUAGAAACCUAAUAGAGAAUAUGAUGGGGCAAAUCUUGAAAAGUGAUGAAUUGAUUGAUAUGACUUGCAAGAUAUGAUUGAAUGAUGAAGACAAUCAGUAGACAAAGUCUGUUUUGGAAUUGUUGAGGCUGAGACAAGGACCCAGUGAUGAUGGAUGAAAUUUGUUUUGAAAUUUGCUAGUGCUGAAAAAUUCAUUGAAUGAUGGUCAAGUGAUGAUCGAUUGAUGAAGCUUAUUCCAAAGUAUUGAAAAACAGAACAAGAAAGAAUGUGAGUGGAAGAGACAAUUGAGAGCUACACUGGUUCGAUCUUAGAAGAGCAGUGCAAUUGGAUCCUUGAGGAAUCAAAGGGCUUGACACCCAAAAAAAAAAAAAGCUUGAGAAACUUGAGUACCAUACAUUGAACAGGAAUUAAUUGGCCAACAUUUGCAUGGCAUGCAUUGAAAUUCAUAUGCAUUGCACAGCAUACACUACUUUCAGGAGAAUAUAGUGUACAAAUUCAAGAAGCAAGGGUGUUCCAACAUCCCACAUGAAAAAGACAGAUAUGAAAAGACUUUGCAAGUUUGAGAAGAAACUUGUCAGGUAAGUUCCUAAUCCUUGAAAUAGGAUGUCUUUUGGUAUCAGGGUUGAUUAUAAAGACCUUUGGGCAUAAUCUCCUGAAAUCCCUUCAAACACAGCUUUCAACUCCUUUGGACAUGAUUGUCAAGGAGCCUAUUAAUUUCCAAAGUUCCGUUGCCUCUGUUUAGAGGAGCAAUUUAUCUUUUCCAAAGUCGUGGUUGCCUCUGUUGAGAGGAGCAAUUUACUUUUCAAAGUCGUGGUGCCUCUGUUGAGAGGAGCAAUUUAUUUUUUUCAAAGUCGUGGUGCCUCUGUUGAGAGGAGCAAUUUACUUUUCAAAGUCGUGGUGCCUCUGUUGAGAGGAGCAAUUUAUUUUUUCAAAGUCGUGGUGCCUCUGUUGAGAGGAGCAAUUUACUUUCCAAAGUCGUGGUGCCUCUGUUGAGAGGAGCAAUUUACUUUUCAAAGUCGUGGGUGCCUCUGUUGAGAGGAGCAAUUUAAUUUCCAAAGUUCCGUUUGCCUCUGUUUAGAGGAGCAAUUUACUUUUCAAAGUCGUGGUGCCUCUGUUGAGAGGAGCAAUUUUAAUUUCCAAAGUUUCGUUGCCUCUGUUUAGAGGAGCAAUUUAUUUUUCCAAAGUCGUGGUACCUCUGUUGAGAGGAGCAAUUUACUUUUCAAAGUCGUGGUGCCUCUGUUGAAGAGGAGCAAUUUACUUCCAAAGUCGUGGGUGCCUCUGUUGAGAGGAGCAAUUUACUUUUCAAAGUCGUUGGUACCUCUGUUGAGAGGAGCAAUUUACUUUCAAAAGUCGUUGAGUCUCUGUUUAGAGGAGCUUCGGCAAAAAAAAAAAAAAAACAAAAAAAAACAAAAAAAACAAAAAAAAACAAAAAAAAAAACAAAAAAAAAAAUAAAAAAAUCAGAAAAAAUCAAAAAAUAACAAAACAAAAAUAAAAAAAAUCAAAAAUAAAAUGUUUGAGUUGAGUCUGGACUUGGGUGUCUACGUCUUUGCGCAAUUUCUGUUUCACAGAAAAUGUGCAAAGAGGGGCAGCGUAGACACACCAAUUGGGUCCGGGCCCAGAUCAAUUGGGCCUGGCCCAAAUGGGUUAAGGCCCCAUUUCAAUCCUGUAUAUUUUUUUCUUUUGUAUUUUAUGUAUUCAUUAUUAUUAUUAUUAUGCUAUAUCUUAUUCAUUUAUUUAUUUUUAUUCAGAUUAGAUUUAUAUGUAUAUUAUUAAUAUAGUUAUAUAUUUAUUAUUAUUAUUAUUAUUAUUANNNNNNNNNNNNNNNNNNNNNNNNNNNNNNNNNNNNNNNNNNNNNNNNNNNNNNNNNNNNNNNNNNNNNNNNNNNNNNNNNNNNNNNNNNNNNNNNNNNNNNNNNNNNNNNNNNNNNNNNNNNNNNNNNNNNNNNNNNNNNNNNNNNNNNNNNNNNNNNNNNNNNNNNNNNNNNNNNNNNNNNNNNNNNNNNNNNNNNNNNNNNNNNNNNNNNNNNNNNNNNNNNNNNNNNNNNNNNNNNNNNNNNNNNNNNNNNNNNNNNNNNNNNNNNNNNNNNNNNNNNNNNNNNNNNNNNNNNNNNNNNNNNNNNNNNNNNNNNNNNNNNNNNNNNNNNNNNNNNNNNNNNNNNNNNNNNNNNNNNNNNNNNNNNNNNNNNNNNNNNNNNNNNNNNNNNNNNNNNNNNNNNNNNNNNNNNNNNNNNNNNNNNNNNNNNNNNNNNNNNNNNNNNNNNNNNNNNNNNNNNNNNNNNNNNNNNNNNNNNNNNNNNNNNNNNNNNNNNNNNNNNNNNNNNNNNNNNNNNNNNNNNNNNNNNNNNNNNNNNNNNNNNNNNNNNNNNNNNNNNNNNNNNNNNNNNNNNNNNNNNNNNNNNNNNNNNNNNNNNNNNNNNNNNNNNNNNNNNNNNNNNNNNNNNNNNNNNNNNNNNNNNNNNNNNNNNNNNNNNNNNNNNNNNNNNNNNNNNNNNNNNNNNNNNNNNNNNNNNNNNNNNNNNNNNNNNNNNNNNNNNNNNNNNNNNNNNNNNNNNNNNNNNNNNNNNNNNNNNNNNNNNNNNNNNNNNNNNNNNNNNNNNNNNNNNNNNNNNNNNNNNNNNNNNNNNNNNNNNNNNNNNNNNNNNNNNNNNNNNNNNNNNNNNNNNNNNNNNNNNNNNNNNNNNNNNNNNNNNNNNNNNNNNNNNNNNNNNNNNNNNNNNNNNNNNNNNNNNNNNNNNNNNNNNNNNNNNNNNNNNNNNNNNNNNNNNNNNNNNNNNNNNNNNNNNNNNNNNNNNNNNNNNNNNNNNNNNNNNNUGUUUAAAGUCUGCUGCCUGACCAACAGUGCUCUCCUGCAAUGCGUUCAUUAUCUCCCCGUCUGAUGCAAAAGUAUGGGUCUUAUUGGUCGAACUUGCCUUUUGGAGAAUACCUGCCGAAACAUCUCUGCUUGCCAUCCUUUGCAAAUUUGGCUCAUAUCACAAAGAUAUUAGGCACGUGUAAACUUGGUUCCUCAGUUAGCGAGAUGUUAAAUCAGGAGGCAACCCUUUCUUAUCGUAGCUUUGCUUUGAUUCCCAAAAUCCUGCUUCUGGAGCAGCUUUCUCAUCAACACAAUGGAAUCUUGCUAAAUACUUAUCGGCACUCUUGAGUUGCAGAUCUGGAGGAAUCUGCUGUGGGCCAGCCUGCUUUCACCACAAAGCCAUCCUUCUUCAAAAGCUCUCUCCAAACAAACUCCGCAUAGUGGGCAGAUUGAGUGAUAAGGCCUUAGUCUGCACAUCCAUAAACCGCCAUACAAGGUCAGGUUAUGCCCCCACUGCCACAAGAGAACUAUACUCAUGCCGCAGCACUUGAAGAUCAAUAAACCAUCUGAGGUCCGAGAACAAUGUAAUCCCUAUACAUUCCUGCAUCACUCAUUUGCAGCAAGUUUCUCAUUCUUCAAACACCCGAUCAGCAAGGUAGAUGGGGCACCUGUCCCCAAAGACAUUCUGCAGCCAGUAAUUCUCUUUCCCAUCCAUGCAUUCUCUUUGUAAGCCUAAGAUUGCAGGCAUGGCAGUCUCAACACAAAGUUUUGCAUCAUCUACACCAUCCCCAGCAUCAGCCAGAGAGAAUCUUGUAGCAUCAGCAGAGAAUUCCUCAAUUGCCUGAUGCAGUGUCCUGAAAUUUCCAGUAGACUUGCGACAUCUUCUCUGAAUUAAGCAUAAUAUGUCCAUUGCACCUGAAUCCACAAGGCCAGUGAUCCUUGGACAUGAUUGCUGGUGAUUGUAGAUGCAAAAUGUUAAAUGGUUCUGGAUAAGGUCUUUUCCAGAAACCCUAAGAUCAAAUGGAUACCAGUACUCAAACUCCUGCUUCAUCUUGUUAAGAACAGAGGAUGGGAUAUCAGAAGAUUUGGGAUACUGACCACCACAGAAGAGAAAUUCC
rnacentral:lncRNA from 1 species